rnacentral:lncRNA from 1 species
AUAUACGUUCAAGUAAAAUGCUGAUGUUGGGUUUGUCCUUGUGCAGGAUAUGGUACAUCAUCAUCACCUAUGAAGAGGAGAAGGGGUUUAUCGUGUCAGGAAAGGUGUGUGGUGGUAGGCUUGGUCUCCGGCCUCGGCAACUUUCGUUGGCCCCGGUGCCGUGCGGCUGAGGCGAUGUUGUUUGGCAUCAGCUACAAAAUAGCCAUGGUGAGCUCCUCUCCAUCGUCUGCUAAUUCAUGUAAUCACAUGAUGUUCAAGAUUCUCUUAUGUAUGGUUUUAGACAUUUAGAAGUGGGGUUUAGUGAGGCUAAAAAACAUUCAAUUAUUUGUACGUGCCAAUUCAAGUAACUGCUUUUUUGAGAUGGCUGUGAUGUUCUUUUUCUUUUUGACCUGUUGUUUUUUUGCACCUUUGAUGAUCUUUUACAUAUAUAGUGGUUUAUGCACUGUAAUGGUUAAUUGACUGCAACAUAACAUAAUGUAGUUGUAUUAUAAAAGUAACUUAGCAAGUGGGAUACCAUACAUGUUCCUGCAUUGUUUGUCAAGUGUGGUUUUUAUUUCAGAAGGCAACAGAGAGGCAUGACACGCAUGCUUUGCUGCAAAAGUUCAAAAAUUGUGUCUUCUUCAUGCGAUUAAACUUAGAAAUUGAGAGGCUAUUUUCUGGACACAUGCAGUUUCAUUUUGAGCUUGGUUGACUUUCGAGAGGUUUGAAAACAUGCGUUGUAACUCAGAUAGAUCAUAUAGCACUGUACUUAUUUUCUGGUAUUUUGUAUAAACAGAUAAAUAUUUUGUUCUUAUUUUCAGUUAUUUACAGGUUAUUGCCGACAUGAGGUCUAUAUGUCCAUGAUUGUUGUGCUACUGUUAAUAUGAUGCAGAUUUUUGUGUUCUUACGUAAGCUGCCAAUUUUUUAUAUUUUAUCUAAGUGCCGAACUUGUGAUUCUUAUACUCAGCCUCAUAUUUUGUGAGCCAGAUGUUCCUCUUUAAGACCUGGAAGGGCAACCUGUUGCAAGUGCUCAAGGGGUGUUCAGAGCAUAUACUUCUCAAGGCCAACAUUGUGAUGCAUGUGUAGUUAGUUUAGAAGUGUUUUGGUAUAGCAACACGAGCUGAUAUGUAGUUUGGUCUGUAGUUCAUUGUAUAUGCAAGUCGAAUUAUCCUGACCAUUUUAUGAAACUUAAUCUAGCUUUUUAUUGGAUUGCUGGGUGGUAUGAAUAUGUUGUAUGAUGAAUAAUUUUGAAUUAUGGUUGGUAUAAAUCCAAAUUUGGCAUGUGUUACUAGGGCAAUAUGGCAAAUAUUUAUAAUUCAAAUUGCUGCUAUAUAUCAAAAUAGGGCCCCACAAGCUUUCCCUAGGGCAAUAUGACCCUAGGGAUAUGUACUUUCCAUGUUGGCAAAGCUGACCCAGUGUAUACUUUCCCUAGAGCAUGUGCCCCUAGGUAAAGUGUACUUCCCCUAGGGCUGGUGGAAAACGGUAGGGAAAGCCCUCUUUCCCGUCUAUACUUCACCUAGUGCCCUUAGGUAAUGCCUUUACCUAGAGUUUUUGGGCUUUCACCUAGGGUAUUCUACCCUAGGUAAAAUCGUUGAUUCUAGUAGUGGCACAUGCGAAGUGAAUCGUCUUUCUUGGGAACCAUGACAACAUUGGCGAGCCACUCGGAGUAGUAUAUCUCGCAGAUGAACUCAGCUGCUAGAAGUCGAGCCACCUCUUCACCAAUUGCCUUCCUCUUCUCCACGGCGGACCAACGGAGAUGCUCUUUGACAGGUUUUGCUUUCGGGUCGACUCACAAACGGUGCUUAGCCAGUCCCCUGGAUACACCCGGCAUGUCAGAAGGCUUCCAUACAAAUAUGUCCUAGUUCUCACGGAGGAACUGGAUGAGUGCUUCUUCCUAUUUGCUAUCGAGUGUUGUUGAAAUAUGAGUCAAAGCAGCAUUGAGAUCGGUCGGGUGAAUGUGAACUUGCUUUGUUUCGCCAGACGACUGAAAUGCAGAUUCUGAAGCAGGCUUCUUGGCACGUAACAAAUCACUCGAAUCUACAUUUUUCUGGUACUCUUGCAUCUCGACUGUUGCCAUCUGUUCAUCGGCAAUCUUUGAGCCCUUCUGGAAGGACUCUUCUGCUCUCUGCCGAUUCCCGGUAACUGUGAUCACACCUCUGGGCCCAGGCAUCUUCAACUUCAGGUACACAUAACACUGUGAAAGUCCACGACUUCAAAUGUCAAAUUUUCCUUGCGGUAAUUCUUGGAAUCAUCGAAAACCACAUCAAGGGUAAUCUAGCCGAGUGAAUCGACCUUCUUCCCCGGUAUGACUCCGUGGAAUCGCAUGUUGCUCUCGCUGAGCUUGGACAUCGGGAUGCCCAUCCCUUUGAGGGUCUCGGCGUACAAAAUGUUCAAGCCACUGCCACCGUCCAUCAAGACCUUGGUCAGUCGAGUACCCUCAACGACUGGGUCGACCACCAGCGCUUGCCGCCCAGGGGUAGCUACAUGCGCUGGGUGAUUGGACUGGUCGAAUGUGAUGGGAGUCUUUGCCCACUUCAAAUACGUCGUUGUUGAAGGAAAUAUGCCCUAGAGGAAAUAAUAAAGUUGUUAUUUAUAUUUCCAUAUAUCAUGAUAAAUGUUUAUUAUUCAUGCUAGAAUUGUAUUAACCGGAAACUUAGUACAUGUGUGAAUUCAUAGAAAAACUGAGUGUCACUAGUAUGCCUCUACUUGACUAGCUCAUUAAUCAAAUGUGGUUAAGUUUCCUAACCAUAGACACGAGUUGUCAUUUGAUUAAUGGGAUCACAUUAUUAGAGAAUGAUGUGAUUGACUUGACCCAUCCGUUAGCUUAGCACGAUGAUCGUUUAGUUUGUUGCUAUUGCUUUCUUCAUAACUUAUACAUGUUCCUAUGACUAUGGGAUUAUGCAACUCCCGAAUACCGGAGGAACACUUAGCAUGCUAUCAAACGUCACAACAUAACUGGGUGACUAUAAAGAUGCUCUACAGGUGUCUCCGGUGGUGUUUGUUGAGUUGGCAUAAAUCGAGAUUAGGAUUUGUCACUCCGUGUAUCGAAGAGGUAUCUCUGGGCCCUCUCGGUAAUGCACAUCACUAUAAGCCUUGCAAGCAAUGUGAGUAAUGAGUUAGUUACGUGAUGUUGCAUUACGGAACGAGUAAAGAGACUUGCCGGUAACGAGAUUGAACUAGGUAUUGAGAUACCGACGAUCGAAUCUCGGGCAAGUAACAUACCGAUGACAAAGGGAACAAUGUAUGUUGUUAUGCGGUUUGACCGAUAAAGAUCUUCAUAGAACAUGUAGGAACCAAUAUGAGCAUCCAGGUUCCGCUAUUGGUUAUUGACCGGAGAUGAGUCUCGGUCAUGUCUACAUAGUUCUCGAACUUGUAGGGUCCGCAUGCUUAACGUUCGGUGACGAUCGGUAUUAUGAGUUUAUGUGUUUUGAUGUACCGAAGGUAGUUCGGAGUCUCGGAUAUGAUCACGGACAUGACGAGGAGUCUCGAAAUGGUAGAGACAUAAAUAUUGAUAUAUUGGAAGGCUAUGUUUGGACAUUGGAAUGGUUCGGGGUGAGUUCAGGCAUUUACCGGAGUACCGAGGGGGGUUAUCGAAACCCCCCGGGGAGUGUAUGGGCCUUAUUGGGCCUUAGUGGGAGACUGGAGGAGGCUGCCAAGGUGGAGGGCGCCCCCCCUCCAAGCCUAAUCCGAAUUGGGUGGGGGCCGGCCCCCUUCCUUCCCUCUCUCUCCCGUUUCCUUUCUCUCCUACUCCAACAAGGGAAGGGGGAAUCCUACUCCCACCGGGAGUAGGACUCCCCCACUGGGGCGCGCCAUAGAGGACUGGCCCUCCUCCUCCCCCACUCCUUUAUAUACGGGGGAGGGGGCACCCCAUAGAUACACAAGUUGAUUGUUUAGCCGUGUGCGGUGCCCCCUCCACAGAUUUCCACCUUGGUCAUAUCGUUGUAGUGCUUAGGCGAAGCCCUGCGUCGGUAACUUCAUCAUCACCGUCAUCACGCCGUCGUGCUGAAGAAACUUUCCCUCGACCUCAGCUGGAUCUAGAGUUCGUGGGACGUCACCUAGCUGAAUGUGUGCAGAUCGCGGAGGUGCCGUACCUUCGGUGCUAGGAUCGGUCGAAUGGUGAAGACAUACGACUUCAUCAACCGCAUUGUCAUAACGCUUCCGCUUAUGGUCUACGAGGGUACGUGGACAACAUCGUCCCUUCUCGUUGCUAUGCAUCACCUAGAUGGAUCUUGCGUGUGCGUAGGAAUUUUUUUGAAAUUACUGCGUUCCCCAACAGUUGUUGCCGGAGCAACUAUGUUCACUUCUCUAUUGAUGACUUUCAGUCAACUUUUGCUCUCAACAUUAGCAAAAAUCACUAAAGUGGCAUUGACAUUGGGCUAACCAUCCUCCUCCUAUUUGUCCUCAUCCUUAUCAGAUUCUUUCUCUUUCUCACUGGGCUGCCCCUCUCGGAACUGCUGGAUAAGGAGUCGACACUGUCGAGUGGUAUGCUUGGGAUAAAUCAGGUUUCCCUCUUCAUCCUUGUUGGUGUGUACAUGACAUGGCAAAUCUAGCACAUCAUUUCCCGCUUGAUCUCUCACCUUCUUGGGUAUCCAUGGCCCUUUAGGCUUCCCUUUGAAUUUUCCUUGGGUCACAACUGCAGUUUCACCAGGUGCCGCGGGCUCGGUUUUGCACUUAUGCUUCCGACUGGAAUUUCCUCCUCCGGUGUUCUGGGCGACUGGUCUGUUCUUGCCACUGUGGAGUCGGUCUUCUUCCUCACCGUUAGUGUACCGAGUGGCUAUUUCCAUAAUUCGGGUCAGGGUCAUAUCUCCUGUCUGACCAAAUUUCAGGUUGAGCUCUCAGUACCGAAUACCCUCCUUGAAGGCGCAAACUGCUUGGUGUGGCGAUACAUUCUCCACUGUGUGAUGCAAAGUGGUCCACCUCUGGAUGUAAUCUCUCAAGGUUUCAUUAGGCUUCUGGACACAAUGCUGUAACUCAGUCAGCCCUGCUGGUCGCUUGCAAGUGCCCUCAAACGUUCUGACAAACACCCGAGCCAACUCUUCCCAACUGAAGAUACUGCCAGGAGCUAACUGAUUCAACCAGGCUCUGGCUGAGCCUUCCAACAUCAGGGGGAGGUGCUUCAUGGCUACAUCAUCAUUACCGCCGCCAAUCUGCACUGCCACUCGGUAAUCUUCUAGCCAAGUAUCGGGCUUCGACUCACCGGUGAACUUACUUACUCCAGUCGCCAACCUGAAGUUGGGAGGAAUUUCUGCGGCUCUAAUGGCUCUGCUGAAACACUCAGGCCCGAAAACAUGCACUCUGCUGCCAGUCGGACGGUCUCUAUCUUGUCCUUCUCUGUGGUCUCUAUUCCGGUCGACCAGACCCUGUACCAAAACUGACCUUGCAUCAAACCCGGGUUCUCUAGGGUCAACUAGAAGUCUUCGCUCGUCACCAUACGGACGCCUGUCAUCGUAUUGCCGAGGUGCAUACGAUCCACCCCUUGGAGGGGGCGUAGGCACUUGACGGCGGUCCUCACAGCUGAACUGAUGAUCAUAUUGCUCGUGGUUCUGACCCAGGUACUGCUCUUGAUGGUGCCCUCGACCCUCAUGCCGAAGAGGCGAUCUUGGGCUGUGAACCGACUGGACGGUGUCUGCUACCAUGGAUCUGCUAUGGAUCAUGUUGCGCGACUGGGAAACUGUUGUGUUCUGCUCUCCUACUGCCCGAAGCAGCGCUCGAAUCUGCAUCAAACCUCUUCCAGCCUCUGAUUGGGACGGCUGGAUCGACUCUGCUAUGCGGGCCACAACAGUAAGAUUCUGAAUUGGAGUGCGGUAUACCUGAGGUUCAGGCAGGAACAAUUUUCGCUAUCGCUGACUGGAUUCAGGGAUCUGUUGUCAAGCACAUUCAUCGAGUGAAUGCUGAAGGUUCUCCAGCCACGCGCGCUCAGCCAGAGUGGCCAGACGCGCAACCUCCAAGGCCCAAGCCUCGGAGGUCUCCCCGACGAUGGGAGUGUAGGGUGCCUCCAUGUUGCGAUGAUGCAGCUCCUCCCUGUGCUGCGAAGUGAGGGCUUGAGGACGAUAUUCUUCGUGAAGAUGCGAUGGAUUGCCACCACCGUUGCCGCCGUAACUGCGAUGGAACCCAGGCGGGCUGCAUGGCGUGUCGACCAUCAGGACUUCUGCCGUAGGGUCGCUGCUGUCGCACUCGGAUAGGGUCUCGACGGAACCAGUCGACAGGUCAAACAGCCCGUGGAGAGAUUUGUCGGGCUCGAUUGCCGUGACUUGAGGGGUGGCCGACUGCCGAGCCACCGCGUGCUUUACCCACCGCUGAAGCCGCGAUCGACUGGAUCGCUUGCGACGACAAGCAGCGGAAAGCGAAGAUGUUGCGGGAGCCUACCGAUAUUCUGGGUCGAUGGCUGCCGCAGAAGGACGCCGCGGAUGCACGUGCGGAAGUGCGUUGCCUCGCGGACGGGGAGCGUCUCGACGUCGAGGGGGCCUCCUGGAGCCAUGCGGAAUCGUCGGCGAUGAAAACGAGCGUGCCGAGACGGAUCUCGCGACCCUCAGCCAAACCACCGCCGGAAACCAUGAUGAUGGAGAUCGAGAAAAUCGUAACCUCACCGGAAGUCGCUAAGACACCUGCCCCAGGGUGGGCACCAACUGUCGUGGGAGUAAGUUUGAUAGUAGAAUAGGGGUACGAAGGAGGAGGCAAGAUCCUAGCUACGGUGAGAUUGUGCACUCAAGAUUUAUGAGUCCAGGCCCUUCUCAGAGGAAGUAACAGCCCUACGUCUCGGUGCCCGGAGGCUUGGUCGGCUGGAUUAUGCGUGAAGUUACAGGAGGUGCGAACCCUUGUCCCAGUGGAGGGGGUGGCUUAUAUAGAGUGCUCCAUGACCCCAGCCAGCCCACGUUACAAGGGGUUCAAUGUACAUUAAGGUGGGACAUUACUGGUAACACCAACAAUAAAGACACAUAAAUGACCAUUAAGACUACAGAGUGAACGCCUGACCGUUGCCAUCCUGAGUGACUUUAGAUCUUCUGUACUCCGAGUGGUUCCUGGUGUGGUCAAAUGAUUAUGUCUUGGUCAAAUAUAAUUGGGUUAUCUCAGUGGAAUUGUUGGUCGAGUGGGUUGCACUCUGAGGUGAUUUCAGUCGGUAGAUGCUGCUGCACUUUUGAAUGCCUAUGACUCUAGGGCAGUGUCCUUGGGAAGGGUGUCUAGGUCAGGCCUAUUACCCUACCCUAGGUACAUAUCAUCGUCAGGUAGGUCACCUCCUCCUCCUCUGGCGCCACAUAGGGGGGCGACAGCGUGUAGUUGGCAUCAAGAUGGAUGGCGGAGCACGUCGUGCUCGAUCGCGAACCACAUUUCCCAGUUCGGCGAGUCCGCCGCGUAGGCCGGGUAACGAUGUUACGCCAUCAUGAGCUGGGUAUGCCACAGGCAGAUCUCCUUGGCGCGCGCCCCCGCGAAACACGGCACCGCAGCACCAGAAUGUGGUGGGGUCCAGGUGCCAGUCGUGGCGGAGAUUCAUGUCGGGGAACAGCAGUGGGACGCGGUACUCCGAGUGGUACAAUGCGGUGCAUGGGGAUGACCACGCGCUCCCGUGGUCGGCACAUGUCCCCCGCUACUGGUACUAGUACCCACCUUGCUGGCCCAUGCGAGGAGUUGGCCUAGGUGUCAUGCUUCGCCUUCGCCUUCCCCUUCCCAAAGAAGCUAGCCAUGGCUAGGAUUUCGUGUCACUAGCGAGGGAGCGGGGGGUUUGGCUACAUGUGAACGGGAGUGAGAAGUGGAUGAGGCCGACCACCCACACGCUUGCCAUUUAAAAUAAGUGUGGACGGUAGCCUUCCAUUGGUUGUUGUGUGGGCCCGAGUUAGAUGAUCACAUUUUUUGAGAAACAUUGUAGAAAACAAAAAAAUCAUCCUACGAUCAACUAGGAACACUAUGAAGACGUGGUUUGCAUCGGAUCAUUACCAACAACGUGUUGCAGUGGAAGAAGAGUCGGCGUAGAUCAUACUUAAAGUUUCUUGAACCAUUCACGAACGAUCCCUCGAACUUGAUGAAGAUCAUUUAUGAAGUCCCUCGAACUAUUCACGAACGAUCCUUCGGACAAAAGACUGAAAGCACGACCAAUCCACAGUUUGCAAAUGAUACGUCUUCAACGUAUCUACAAAGUUUGAUUGUUCCAUGCUAUUAUAGUAUCAAUCUUGGAUGUUUUAUAUUUAUUUAGAAGCAAUUAUAUAUUAUAUUUUGGGACUAACCUAUUAACUUAGUGUCCAGUGUCAGUUGUUGUUUUUGCCUGUUUUUGGUUUUCAGAAUUUCAGUACCAAACGAAGUCCAAAUGCCAUGAAACUUUUUGGAGAUAUUUUUCUAGACAAAAGGGACACUGGAAGCUUUGGGAGAGGGCCAGAAGAUGAAGCGUGGGCUCACAAGGCAUCAGGGGCGCCCUCGUGGCUCGUGGGGCCCACGAGGCUUUGUUUGACCUAACUCUGCCUCUAUAAAUUAUCUAAAUUCGAGAAACCAACAAAGAGCCAUCCAAAACACUUUUUUUUCCGCUGCAAGUUCCUAUCUUGCAAGAUCCCAUUUGGAGGCCUUUUCCGGCACUCUGCCAGAGGUAGAAUCAAUCACGGACGGGCUCUAUAUCAACCUUGCUUCCCUUCCGAUGAUGUGUGAGUAGUUUACCAGAGACCUACGGGUCCAUAGUUAGUAGCUAGAUGGAUCUCUCUCUCUCUCUCUCUGAUCUUCAAUACAAUAUUCUCCUCGAUGUUCUUGGAGUUCUAUUCGAUGCAAUCACUUUUUGCGGUGUGUUUGUUGGGAUCCGAUGAAUUGUGAGUUUAUGAUUAGAUUAUCCAUGAAUAUUAUUUGAGUCUUCUCUGAAAUAUUUUAUGCAUGAUUAUUAUAGCUUUGUAUUUCUCUUCAAUCUAUUGAUUUGCUUUGGCCAACUAGAUUGAUUUUUCUUGCAAUGGGAGAUGUGCUCUGUGAUGGGUUUGAUCUUGCGGUUCUCAAUCCCAGUGAUAGAAAGGGACAUGACACAUAUCUGUAUCAUUGCCAUUAAGGAUAAAAAGAUGGGGUUUAUCAUGCAUUAGUUUACUUUGUCUACAUCAUGUCAUUUUUGCUUAAGGCGUUGCUCCAUUCUUUAUGAAGUUAAUACUCUAGAUGCAUGCUGGAUAGCAGACGAUGUGUGGAGUAAUAGUAGUAGAUGUAGAAUCAUUUUGGUCUACUUAUCUCGGACGUGAUGCCUAUAUACAUGAUCGUUGCCAUGGAUAUCGUCAUGAUUAUUUGCUUUUCUAUCAAUUGCCCAACAGUAAUUUGUUUACCCAUCGUAUGAUAUUUUCAAGAGAGAAGCCUCUAGUGAAAACUAUGGCCCCGUGGUCUACUUUUACCAUAUAUUUAAAUCCAAAAAUACCUUGCUGCAAUUUUUCUUUAGUUAUUUUGUUUUGUGUUUUAUCAAUCUACCUAUCACUACAAAAUAUAAUCUUGCAAGUAAUCGUCAAGGGAUUGACAACCCCUUAUUCACGUUGGGUGCAAGUAUUUGUUAUUUUGUGUGCAGGUACUGCUAAUGAGGUGUUGUAUGAUUCUCCUACUUGAUAGAUAACCUUGGUUCUUAACUGAGGAAAAUAUUGAUAACCCACAAGUAUAGGGGAUCGCAACAAUUUUCGAGGGUAGAGUUUUCAACCCAAAUUUAUUGAUUCUACACAAGGGGAGUUGUCGGUGUCAAAACCGGCGGAUCUCGGGUAGGGGGUUCCGAACUGUGCGUCUAAGGCGGAUGGUAACAGGAGGUAGGGGACACGAAGUUUUACCCAGGUUCGGGCCCUCUUGAUGUAGGUAAAACCCAACGUCCUACUUGAUUAAUAUUGAUGAUAUGGGUAGUACAAGUGUAGAUCUACCACGAGAUCAGAGAGGCUAAACCCUAGAAGCUAGCCUAUGGUAUGAUCAUUGUAUAUGUUCUAUCGACUAGCCUGGCCUCGGUUUAUAUAAUGCACCAGAGGCCUAGGAUAACAAGAGUCCUAGCCGAAUACGCCGGUGGGGAGGAGUCCUUGUCUUGAUCGCCAAGUCUUUUGGAAUCUUCCUUGUAUGCGGCAGCUGUCCGAACUGGCCCAUGAGUAUGCGGCCAUGGGGGUCCUCGGCCCAAUCCAACUGAUCGAGAGACGACAUGAUGAGUACCCCCUAGUCCAGGACACUGUCAGUAGCCCCCUGAACCGGUCUUCAAGUUAGGGACGCUCCUCGAUUCUUCCGAACUGUUCUUCAUCUUCGGUUGUCGGUCUUGAAAACUGGUUCAACAAACUUCUCAUCUUCGAUCUUGAGGAUCGCCGAAAUGCAUUCGACGAGUUUACACGUCGGGUAUCCGAGGAGCCCCUUUAAGUUUCCGGCCUUUAUCAAUGCCUUGUUGUUUUUAUGCCACACCUCGGGUUUGAAGUUGUUCCCGGGAGGCAGUGUCCUCUUGCGUCCGAGCUCUAACGCCAGAUUGCAUUCGAGGUAUCUUUUGCAGCCGAGCACCAAUGCCAGACUGCUUCCGAGCUCCAACGCCGAAAUGUAUCCGAGCUCCAACGCCGGACUAUGUCCAAGCUCCAACGCCGGACUAUAUCCAAGAUGUCAUAGAUCAUCUUGGUCCAAAAAAGUUGAAGGAGUUUAGCCGAGCUUAAUGCUGGAAAUGCCCUCUAUGGAGCCAGCCACUAGCGCCCGAGCUUUAUGCCGGACUGCUUCCGAGGUGGUGCACCACCCGACAGCAGGCUGAUAUUUUGUGAAUAUUUUUUAUUGGUGCAAUUUAUUCUCUGCCGAGAUAUAUAACCGGUAUAUGUAUAUCCAGUAGCCCUCAAGGUGUGUGUCGGUCUAAAACCCGAGAUGCACCUGAAGGAAAACAUGAAACCACUGUUCCUAGUAGCCCCUGAGACUCGGGCCGAUGCGCGAAAUCGGCCUGAGGAUCAACACAUAGCUCGGCAGCAUACAUAGGAAUAAAAACGCAGUGUAAUAUAUAGUGAUCGGCGAACGGGCCCUUGAGAGAGGGUCUUGAAAAGUUGCCGUAAUUUAUUUAGCUUGACGCCGGAUAGGUCCAAAUGGUACCUAUUGUUAUCCGAAGACACGUUUGCCCAUAGUUCGGUCAAGCCGAACACUUGGCAUUUGGAAUUCUCUGCAUUGAAAUAAGCAAUGCAGUAGCCCCCGAGACACUGGUCGGGUGGCAACACCAGAUCAGGUGGUUGAUGUGCCCCUUUAAUUUUUGUAAAUAAUGAGCGCAAAGCCCAGUAGCCCCCGAGCCUUAAUGUGGGCACGGGUGGCCGAAUUAAGGAUCGAUAUCCAGAGUAAAAUCACAGAUUAUGUGUAAUGAUUCUAUGUAUCCAAGUACUUUACAUCAUUAUUUUGACUCCAUUGUGACUGUUUAUCAGUUGAAAGUGGCCCAUCGUCGGCUUCUACCCCUUGGUAGAUACCACGCAGGGUGUUUCCGCACUAACAAAACAACCCUUAGCCGAUGGCUCGGUGCCCGGAGGCGGUUGUGUUAGCAGAAACGAAGCAAUCAAAUAUGCGGGCUUUAUAACUUUCCCUUAGUCAUAGGAGCUUUAAGUUGGGGAAGCUAGCUAUGAGCCCCCGGUUACUGUUCGGCGACAUCCGAGGUCAAGCCGUAAACACUUCGGCCAAUGUUAUGAACGGCCCAUCAUUUAAUAUAGUCAUCGGAUCGCUGACUAGUUUACGCCUAUUGUGAUAGUCAGUUUUCGGCUUUCUCCACUGAGGUGCUUGACCAUGCGAGCUGGAAGCACAAUCGUAGUAGUUCUCCCUCUGCACACCUAGCCGAACAAAGCGGAACAUAGGAGGCAAGAACAAGAGCCGGGCAACCCAACUAUUGACCGAAGACACAAUUCGAAACCAAUGCAUAUAUAGCAAUAUCCGAGAAUGUUUUUUCCGGAUCCCUAAAGGUGUCCGGAGUUGUACUGCGAGACUAAUGGUGGAAACGCACAAAUAGUUCAAAAGUGCCAUAGGCUUGGAAAACCAAAAAACGUCAGAAAAAAUCGACGUCCGAACUAGAUCAAUUGUUCGGUGCCAAUCAGAAAAUUGGACUUUAAAAAAAGUGCUUCUAUCAUGCUUUAACAUGACACAUCCUAUCUCAAGACUUCAAGCGGGUCAGCCUACGGCUUCAACCUCCUAUCCCGAAGGCGGAGUACUUCUCAUUAGGCCAGUUUAGCAAACUAAACUCUAGCGGCUUUGAGAGAGAAAUUAGGCUCCCCGGCUAGUGACCACACACUCAUGUCGAAAAAAGGAGUGAUAAAUAGUAAUAAUAAUAAAAACUUUGCAACGACUAAGAAGAAGAACACUUAUUAUAAAACGGCUCAUAUAAAUUUAAGAGCCCCCAAGUGACUUGGGUAAAAGAAUUUUAUGUAUAAUGAUUGUAUGUACCGAAGUACUAAUAUCAUAUCUUUGUUCACCCGAACUUUAAACGCGUCUUAACCGACCGUCGGCUUCUCCCUCUUCGGUCAAGGACCAAAAAGUGUUAUGUACUCCACCUGUCGAGAAUAUCGACAGUGUUUCCGAUAACCAGACAACCGGGCCAUAAGGCUGUAACAGACAAAGCGCGCUCAGGGAACUUAUGCUAUAUUACAGACAAAGUGUAAGAAGCAUCUUCGAAGAAAAUAGUACCCCCACUGAUACCUUUCUUUGGUGCUCACUAUUAAUAUGAGACUUAUGCAAUGGAUUUUUUGUAGUCAUGAGUUCCGUUGUGUGCCGACCAUGAUUGAAAACAAUAAGAGUGCUAGCUUUCAGCUUCACCCAGUCUGAGGUCAGAGCUCGGAGGACCCGGUCGUGACAAUCGCAGAGGUGCUCCCUUUACUCCCUAGACGAACAAUCGGGAACGUAGAGGUAAGCAUAGGAGCCAGGCAACCCAGCUUGCAAAUCGCUUAAGUCAAUAUGGUGCAUAUUGUGGCAUAAUACACGAACAAGGAACGAAGCGGUACAAGUAUAAUCAUAUGCAAGAGGAAAAGCUUCAUAAAUGAAGCCCCCAAAUAAACGGGGUAUUUGAAUUUGUGUGUCACAAACAAAGUUUGGACAAGGAAAUUUUUUAUAAGUAACUUUUUUUCCAAAAAAGUAUAAUGCUUGGUCUAACUGAACACAAGUGAAAAAUUUAAAACUUUGAGCAUGAAGGCAACUUAGCUGGUUAAUGUGUUCGGUAUUGAUGACGCGGUCCAAGCUUGAUGCGGGACAAGGUUCCAUCCCCCAAGUUGGUCCCGAGGUGGCGGAGCAAAGGGCUCGGCACUCCGAAGUGGUGACAUAGCACGGUCAAUGCAGGCCGGCAGAGUGAUGCCGAAGUCCCCGGCAUGGGGUAAUGAAGUGUUGACGAAGCCCCCCGUCCAGCCGAGAUGACGUGGUAUGUCAGUACACCGAGUUGACGACCAUGCCGAGAUGACAAGUUUGCUGUUCAGAAAAACAGCACGGUCGCCCGAGGGCAAUGUUGACGUUGAGCCCCCGAGCUCCAUGGAUGAUUCCUCCAUGAUCUUGAUAGAGAUCCGAGUUGAUGUUGAUGAAGGCCCUCGUCCGAACAUGACGAUCGGAGAUGGAGCACGGUCCUUGGUCGAGCCAAGGUGACCAGUCGAGCCGGCGACGAAGAUGCCGGCAUCGCAGUUGACCUGCAGACGAGCCAUCGAUCCUUUUGCCGAUCACGCAGCGGAACUCUCAAUGAAAGCACCAAUGUCGGUGUCAAAACUGGCAGAUCUCGGGUAGGGGGUUCCGAACUAUGCGUCUAAGGCGGAAGGUAACAGGAGGCAGGGGACACGAAGUUUUACCCAGGUUCGGGCCCUCUUGAUGGAGGUAAAACCCUACGUCCUGCUUGAUUAAUAUUGAUGAUAUGGGUAGUACAAGAGUAUAUCUACCACGAGAUCAGAGAGGCUAAACCCUAGAAGCUAGCCUAUGGUAUGAUUAUUGUAUAUGUUCUAUCGACUAGCCUGUCCUCGGUUUAUAUAAUGCACCAGAGGCCUAGGAUAACAAGAGUCCUAGCCGAGUAUGCCGGUGGGGAGGAGUCCUUGUCUUGAUCGCCAAGUCUUGUGGAAUCUUCCUUGUAUGUGGCAGCUGUCCGAACUGGCCCAUGAGUAUGCGGCCAUGGGGGUCCUCGGCCCAAUCCAACUGAUCGGGAGACGACGUGAUGAGUACCCCCUAGUCCAGGACACCGUCAGGAGUGAAAGAAUAUUCUCAAGUAUUAGCAGCUGAGUUGUCAAUUCAACCACACCUGAAAGACUUAAUAUCUGCAGCAAAGUAUUUAGUAGCAAAGUAGUAUGGAAGUAACCGUAAUGGUGGCAAAAGUAACAGUAGCAGUUUUGUAGCAAUCGUAACAGUGGCAACAGUAAAGUAACUUAGCAAAGAUCAAUAUGAAACGAACUCAUAGCCAAUGGAUCAAUGAUGGAUAAUUAUGUCGGAUGACAUUCAUCAUGCAACAGUUAUAACCUAGGGUGACACAGAACUAGCUCCAAUUCAUCAAUAUAAUGUACGCAUGUAUUCCAUAUAUAAUCAUACAUGCUCAUGGAAAAGAACUUGCAUGACAUCUUUUGUCCUACCCUCCUGAGGCAGCGGGGUCCUAUUGGAAACUAAGGGAUAUUAAGGCCUCCUUUUAAUAGAGAACCGGACCAAAGCAUUAGCACUUAGUGAAUACAUAAACUCCUCAAACUAUGGUAAUCACCGGGAAGUGUCCCGAGUAUUGUCACUCCGGGGUUGCCGGAUCAUAACACAUAGUAGGUGACUAUAACUUGCAAGAUAUGAACAAGAACAAAAAUAUAUUCAUGAAAACACAAUAGGUUCAGAUCUGAAAUCAUGGCACUCGGGCCCUAGUGACAAGCAUUAAGCAUAGCAAAGUCAUAGCAACAUCAAUCUUAGAACAUAUUGGAUACUAGGGAUCAAACCCUAAUAAAACUAACUCGAUUACAUGGUAAAUCUCAUCCAACCCAUCACUGUCCAGCAAGCCUACGAUGGGAUUACCCACGCACGGUGGUGAGCAUCAUGAAAUUGGUGAUGGAGGAUGGUUGAUGAUGACGAUGGUGACGAUUUCCCCUCACUGAAGCCCAAAAUAGACUCCAGAUCUGCCCUCCCGAGGAAGAACAGGAGGUGGCAGCGGCUUCGCAUCAUAAAACGCGCUCUCUGCUUUUUCUCCCCAAACGUGAAUAUAUGGAGUUGGAGUUGAGGUCGGUUGAGCUUCGUGGGACCCACAAGCCAGGGGCAAGCCCAGGGGGUAGGGAGCGCCCCCACCCUUGUGGACAGGUGGUGGGUCCCCCUCUGUUGAUUCUUUCGCCAAUAUCUUUUAUUUAUUCCAAAAAUAUGCUCCAUGAAGUUUCAGGUCAUUCCGAGAACUUUUAUUUCUGCACAAAAAUAACACCAUGGCAAUUCUGCUAAAACAUCAUCAGUCCGGGUUAGUUCCAUUCAAAACAAGGGCAAAAGAGUUUGUAAAAGUAGAUACGAUGGAGACGUAUCAACUCCCCCAAGCUUAACCCGUUGCUUGUCCUCAAGCAAUUCAGUUGACAAACUGAAAGAGAUAAAGAAAAACAUUUACAAACUAUGUUUGAUCUUGUUGUUACAAAUAUGUAAAGCUAGCAUUCAAGUUUUCAGCAAAGAUUAUAAACUAACCAUAUUCACAAUAACAUUUAGGUCUCAUAUUUACUCAUAUCAAUGGCAUAAUCAACUAGCGAGCAAUAAUAAUAAAUCUCGGAUGACAACAAUUUUUCGAAACAAUCAUGAUAUGAUAUAACAAAAUGGUAUCUCACUAGCCCUUUGCGAGACUGCAAAACAUAAAUGCAGAGCACCCCUGAAGAUCAAGGACUGACUAGACAUUGUAAUUCAUGGUAAAAGAGUUCCAGUCACAGUCAUACUCAAUAUCAAUUAAUAAUAAUGCAUACAAAUAACAGUGGUGCUCUCUAACUUGUGCUAUUUAUAAGAGGAUGACGACUGGCAAUAAAAGUAAAUAGAUAGGCCCUUCAUAGAGGGAAGCAAGGAUUUGCAGAGGCGCCAGAGCUCGAGUUUUUUGGAACAGAGAUAAAUAAUAUUUUGAGCGGUAUGCUUCCAUUGUCAACCUAACAACCAAGAGAUCUCGGUAUCUUCCAUACUAGAUACAUUAUAAGAGGUUCCCAAACAGAAUGGUAAAGUUUAUACCCCCCCCAUCACCAACAAGCCCAUUCCGGUUGGCCCGAAACAAUGGGUACCGUCCAACUAACAACACUCCUGGGGGAGUUUUGUUUGAAGUUAUAUUUUGAUUUGAUUUGAGCAUGGGACUGGGCAUCCCGGUUACCAGCCAUUUUCUCGUGAAUGAUGAGCGGAGUCCACUCAUCGUGAGAAUAACCCACCUAGCAUGGAAGAUACUGACAGUCCUCACGUCGCUAUAUGAGCGAUUCGGGCAUACAAAACAUAUUGUCAUUUGAAGGUUUAGAGUUUGGCACAUGCAAAUUUACUUGGAAUGGCAGGUAAAUACCGCAUAUAGGUAGGUAUGGUGGACUCAUAUGGAACAACUUUGGGUUUAUGGAAGUGGAUGCACAAGCAGUAUUCCCGCUUAGUACAAGUGAAGGCUAGAAAAAGACUGGGGAAUGACCAACUAGAGAGCGAUAACAGUCAUAAACAUGCAUUGAGAUUAACCAACAUUGAGUGCAAGCAUGAGUAGGAUAUGAAUCACCAUGAACAUAAAUAUCAUGGAGGCUAUGUUGAUUUCGUUUCAACUACAUGCGUGAACAUGUGCCAAGUCAAGCCACUCGAAUCAUUCAAAGGAGGAUACCAUCCUAUCAUACCACAUCACAACCAUUUUAAAAGCAUGUUGGCACGCAAGGUAAACCAUUAUAAACUCCUAGGUAAUUAAGCAUGGCAUGAGUAACUAUAAUCUCUAAUUGUCAUUGCAAACAUGUUUCAUUCAUAAUGGGCUAAAUCCAGAACGAUGAACUAAUCAUAUUUACAAAAACAAAAUAGGUCGAGUUCAUACCAGCUUUUCCUCAUCUCAAUCAUUUCAGCAUAUAUCGUCAUUAUUGCCUUUCACUUGCACGACCGAACGGUGUGGAUAAUUGUAAUAAUGCACGUGCAUUGGACUAAGUUGGAAUCUGCAAAUAUUUAUUCAAAGGAGAAGACAAGGUAAUAUUGGCUCUUUGUUAUAUCAACAAUAAUGCAUAAGAGAGCCACUCAACAUUUUCAUCGUGAUCUUAUCCUCUCGACCCAAAGAAAGGAAAAAAAGAAUUUCAAAGAAACACACUGAAAUAUUUUUGGAGUUUUUGUUUUUCUAAAGAAAGUAAAACAAGAAUGAGAAAAACUAAUUACACGGGAAAGCUCCCAACAAGCAAAAGAAGAGCGAGAAAUCUUUUUGGGUUAUCUUUUAAUACUACUACUAAGUAAACAUGGGAAGUAAACUAAACAGAAGCUACAACUAUUUUUUUUGUUUUUUCUCAAAGUUUUUCAAACACACAAGAAGAAAGCAGGAAAAAGAAAAUGAACUAGCAUGGAUAAUAUAAUGAAAAAGUAUGAACACCGACAAUUGAAAUAAGUGUGUGAACAUGAUGUAAUGUUGGUGAAAAAUACGUACUCCCCCAAUCUUAGGCUUUUAGCCUAAGUUGGUCGAGGGCCACGACUGGCCCAGAUUGUAUCCGAAAUCAUAGUUGGGGUUGUACUGUGCUGCGGAAGCUACCGCCUGGCGAGCUGCUUCAUGGAGGCGAGUGGCCUCCUUUGUUCUCUCAUACUCGUUCACCUCCUCUCUAGUUAUAAAAUAUCUCCCAUUUACCUAAAAGUUAAAGAAGGAAGGAGCAGGAAGGGUAAUAUGGACAUCAUGUCGUCUAUCAAAGAUAAGUCGGUACUGGAGGGACUGUUCGUUCCUCUCAAGAAACUGGUAGCGUACCAUAGCAUUCUAAUUUAGGAAAGUAGGUGGUAACUCAAUGUCAUUCCCUCUUAUGGGUACCAAGAUAAUUAGCUAACCGAGUUGCAUAAAUCCCACCAAAUAAAUCUCCAUCUUUAGCAUUAAGAUGUAACCUCCUCGCAAUAAUAGCCCCCAAAUUAUAUCGUUUAUCACUUAAUACCGCACACUUGAGGACACUAAGAUCCGAUGCACAAAGGUGGCUAUGCUCAUGCUUACCAUUAAUGCAUCUACCUAUAAAGAGAGCAAAAUAAUGUAAGGCAGGAAAGUGAAUGCUCCCUAUGGUAGCUUGUGUGAUAUUUCUAGUUUCUCCCACAGUGAUGCUAGCAAGGAAAUCAUUGUAUUCAACUUUGUGAGGCUCACUAUGAAUGCCCCAUUGUGGGAUUUUGCAUGCAGUAUUAAAAUCCUCAAGGUCCAUGGUAUAUGAUUCAUCAUAAAGAUCAAAUAAAAUAGUAUGGGUAUUGCGCUUAGAUGAAAAUUCGAACCUCCGCACAAAGGAAUCAGUGAGGAAAUAGUAUUGUCGGCACUUAUCUGACACGAAGUCCUCAAGGCCGGCAUUUUGUACGUAUGCAUUAAACUCAUCCUUAAAACCUACAUGGACCAUGAAUUCAUCCGACGGCCAUUCACAAGGACGCACUUGAGCUUCCCUUGGUGGUUCAAGGUCCGGCUCACGUAUCGUGAGCCUCGGCGCUUGCUUCCUCGAAGAACCACCUUGGUACACUUUCCUAGACAUUUUUCUUCCUCUGAAAAUUUUAGUGACUCAAAAUAAAAGUGAACCAAACUCAACAAGAUUGAUAGCAACUACUCCUACAAGUAUCUAGAGGCUAUAUCAUGCAUCACAACUACUUUGGACCAUAUAAAUUUGGCAUGCAAGCUCAAUAACAAGGUCACCACAGCAGCAAAAAAUUGCAAUAAAUAAAGCACUAGAAAAAAAACUAAUUGGACCAUUGGAGGAGUCACAUAGUGAAGAACAAUCCCCCAAAACAGUUUUGCAAAUGGAGCUUUGCACAAGGAGAUCGAAAAUGGCAGCAAGAUGAGCAAGAACACGGGUUUGAGCUACAAGAUGAUUUUAUCUAGAGGGAGACAAAGUGGAUGGGUGCUGGAAUAAGUGAAGGGGACCCAUGUGGGACCCACAAGGCAAGGGGCGCGCCCAGGGGGUAGGGCGCACCCUCCACUCUUGUGGCCCACUGGUGCAUCCACCUGGUGCAUGUUCAGUGCUAGAAAUUCUCAAAUAUUCUAUAAAAAAUCAUACUAAAUUUUCAGGGAAUUUGGAGAACUUUUAUUUUCGGGACAUUUUUUUAUUACACGGAUAAUUCAAAAAAUAGGCAAAAAAAUACUAUUUUUGCUUUAUUUAAUCUAGAUAACAGAAAGUAAAAAGGAGGUACAGAAAGUUGUGCUUUCUAAAUCCAUCCAUCUCACGCUCAUCAAAAGGAAUCCAUUAACAAGGUUGAUCAAGUCUUAUUAACAAACUUCUUCCGAAUGACACACUACCGCAGGAUGCUGCUAACACGACACUACGAUCAGAGACCCUUCGAGAAACUAUGUGCGAUGCAAUAAUCACAAAUGAUGUUGUAUGAGAAGCGUCAGAAAUGUGUAAAACGUUUGCGAUAACGGAUGCAUCAAACACGGUUUAGGUUUUAUUUGCGUGUGCGAUGAAGGGCAUACGGUUCAGUUCAAUGAACUGUUUGCGAUGAGGAGGAACAAAAGAAACGGGCAGCCAGAUGAAGGCGUGUGCCAUACACAGCAUACGGUUCACUUGGAUGAACUGUUUGUGAUUAGGCAACACAAAAGAAACGGUCUGCGAGACCAAGGUGUGUGUGAUUGAGGGCAUACGCUUCAGAAGGAUUAAUUGUUUGCGAUUAGGCAACAGAACAGAAACGGGUCAGACAGAUCAAACUGUCUGCGAUUGAUGGCAUGCACUUCACAUGGAUGAACUGUUUGUGAUUAGCCACAACAAACUAAAACAGUUAGAUAGAUCAACGUGUGUACGCUAGACGGGCACACACAUUCUAAUUAAAAGAACCGUGCGCGAUGGUGCUAACAUUGCCUAUUGCGGUGCACCCUAUAGUGCAAACGCCACGUACGCGACCGAGAAGGCGUACGUGCCCACGUUACGCCUUCCGGGAAUAGUGCCGCACUUAUAACCGUCAACAAAUUUUGAGCAUGUGUCCCGUCACAUUCCAAAUUGCAAACCUGUUCACGCCGAUCAAAACCUAAACGGUUUCCCACUUAGGAGCGUAUUACUAUGCGGUUAUAAAUACUACUACUCCAAGAUGACUGCACAUUCCUCCUGAACUCCUCAUCCACAAAAAGUCAAAAACAAACAAGUCAUUCAUUAUCGUUCCCUUGCGCCUGCCAUGGCCAGCGUGAGUUCUAGGUCGAGAGAUUGCCACCGGGGAGAGGCGAGCCUGGAAGUGGGAGCACGAGAGAUGUCCCGCCUUGCCGUGAAAGCAUCCAACAUGUCCCGCCACACGGCCGUAGCAGCAGAGAGGUCCUGCCGCGCCGCCGAAGCAGCACGGAGGACACGCCGCGCCGUCGAUGCAGCAGACUAGCCCGGCCGCGCCGCGGAAGCAGAAGAGAUGUCCCACCGCAUCGUGAAUGCAGCAGAGAUGUCCUCCCAUGCCGCGGCGGCCUGGGAAAUUGCCUCUCGGGUAGGUGAGGACUCUUACACGCACAUGCGUGCCCUCGUGCUUAGGAAGAUGGAUCAGAUCUCUAGGUGGGCAAGGUUGCAGGAUGACCUGCAAGCCUCGUUUGAACUGUCUACCGACGUCAUCCGACAACUAAAUGAGAGCAAUGCGAAGCUCCGGGCCGAGCGCGACCCGCUGAGGGCGAAGAUUGUCGGAAGUGUGGAGCAGCAGGAGCAGACCAUUGCCUUGUUGAAGAGGACCGACGUCAUCGUCGAGAAACUUAUGGACGAGAAUGCCAUGUUGCACAUUGAGCGCAGAAGGCUGGUGGAGGAAUCCGUGGAUGCUCUCAACCAGCAUCUUGAGGACAAGAAAGAGCUCGUCGCCGCCCGCCACGGAGAUUAGUUCCUGCUGUGGCUUCCUUCUUCUUUUGCCCUUGUGUAUAUCGGGUGUUGCCGCAUGUGGCUCUUCUUAUUUAUGUUUAUAAAUAUGUAAGAAAAUUAUUAUCCAAUGUCAUCGUCCUUAUAUUCAUCAUGCUUGUUAUAAGUCAUAGUCGAUGCUAUAUAGGUCUGUCGGAUCUUACAUCAAGAUCCGUGCAAAACUUUCUUUUUAGAUUUUCAUUUUUCUCUCUUAAAUCUCAGUCUAGUCAGACAUAUAGCCACGCCGUAGAACAGGUGCUCGGGCGAUAUUAAUGGAGACGUUGGGAGGGAGGUGCGCGGCGGGUAGCGGUCAAAAGGGCUCUCCUCCUGAUGAGCACGUGCAGGCGUCUGAUCGCACGCCUCCCGUACUCAAAUAGCUACCCCGCACGGCACCUCCUAGCCAAUAAAAAAAGGGGACACAUGGAUGCACUUAAUUGGUAAGUUGAACGCCCAUGGUUUCAAUAAUACUUGCGUUUCCGAUUUGUAACGUGACAGCACUUGUUCCAAAAUGACUUUGUUGAUUGUUAAUGUGUGCGCCUUCGCAAAUUGGACAGAAAAAUUACCACAACAUCACUACAAAAAAAAGACACAUCCGUGACAUUUUGGGCCGAACGAUUUUUUUUCCUAUCAUACAUAUGACACUUCUAUGACGAUAAUUGUGACAAAACCCGGUAUCAUCAUAGAUGUGGUGGGCUCCUACUUCUAUGACAAAAAAUCAUGAUAGAAUAUGGGCUUUUCGUCCUGGGUGGGCCGGAGAUGCAGCUGCAUGACAUUCUUUGGGCCGUCCAUGACGGAAAAAACCGUGGUAGAAGCGAGGGGGAGGAAAAUUUCAAGGAGUUCCCGGUUACGGUGGGAGGUAGGGGGCCGAGCGAUGCGCGUUUCUAUCAUACACGUACGCGUGUGUGUGCGAGGCGUUGGCUCCAACUGAACCCGAGCGAGGCAUUGGGCUCUAACUGAACCCGAGCGAUUGCACUGGAGGCUACGCGUUACUGAACCCGAGCGAUCGAUCGAUGGAUGUUAACUGAACCCGAUCGAGCGAUUCCUUCGCUACUGCUGCUAACUGAAGUUGAUCGAUGCUGCCUCUGGGAUGAAUAGUGAGUGNNNNNNNNNNNNNNNNNNNNNNNNNNNNNNNNNNNNNNNNNNNNNNNNNNNNNNNNNNNNNNNNNNNNNNNNNNNNNNNNNNNNNNNNNNNNNNNNNNNNNNNNNNNNNNNNNNNNNNNNNNNNNNNNNNNNNNNNNNNNNNNNNNNNNNNNNNNNNNNNNNNNNNNNNNNNNNNNNNNNNNNNNNNNNNNNNNNNNNNNNNNNNNNNNNNNNNNNNNNNNNNNNNNNNNNNNNNNNNNNNNNNNNNNNNNNNNNNNNNNNNNNNNNNGCUGGAUGAACAGUAGACGGUAGAGGGGUGUCCGUGGAGGGGUGGUUGAACAGGACCCCGUGGUGUGGAGGGAUGGAUGAACAGUAGACGGUGGAGGGGUGGUUGAACAGUAGCCGGUGGAGUAGCGCGCGGUGGAGGCUGGAUGAACAGGAGCCCAUGGAUGCUGGAGGAGGUCGACGGUGGAGAUGAACAAUAUCCCGUGGAGUCCUGUUUUACGGUACGCCACACCCCUCCCGAUGAACAGGACCCCCGUUUCAACCGUAGGAGGUCCGUUUCAUCCGUUUUGCGGCACGCCACACCCCUCCAGAUCAACAGGACCCCCGUUUCGACCAUAGGAGGUCCAUUUCCUCCGUUUUGCGGUACGCCAGACCCCUCCCGAUCAACAGGACCCCUGUUUCGACCGUAGGAGGUCUGUUUCCUCCGUUUUGUGGUACGCCAGACCCCUCCCGAUGAACAUGAUUCCGUUUCGAACGUGGCCGGUCGAACACAAGGCCGUUUCCUCUGUUUUGCGGUACGCCAGGCCUCGUUUCCAUCGCCUGCUCCAUCCAAGCCCUCCCGGUGAAGACGACCACGCAUUCCAUUCCGACCCAGCCGGUUGGCUCCCACGCGUUCCGUUGCCUCCCGAUGAACACGAUGCAUUCCGUUGCCUCCCUGUGAACAUGACGCAUUCCGUUGCCUCCCCAUGAACACGACAUAUUCCGUUGCCUCCCCAUGAACACGACGACGACGCUGUUUCUCCGUUCUGACCCAGCCAUGUACACGAGCCCUGGCCGUACGUAUGCGCGAGUAGGCGUUCGAGACCCUGCCCGUAUGUACACAUACAUGGCCAUGUUUUCUUUCUUGCACCCUGGCCGCUGUACGUACAUGUACAUGCUACGUGCGCGCCUCUACUACGACACGUGCGCGCCUCUACAUCGACUAGUAUGUACGUACACGUUCGCGACCAGAAUGACAACACUACUACGCUUCGACCAGGUGGGUCCCGACUGUCAGGCACUUCCUUGCCUGCGAAGAUGUACCUGGUGGGUCCCAGCAGUCAGGGGGGCGAAUCGUUUUUUUACCCGGACGCACUUCCUUGCGUGCGAAGGUGUAGCUGCUGGGUCCCAACAGUCAGGGGGGCGAAUCGUUUUUUUGCCCGGACGCACUUCCUUGCGUGCGAAGGUGUAGCUGGUGGGUCCCAGCAGUCCGGGGGUGAAUCAUUUUUUUUGGACGCACUUCCUUGUGUGCGAAGAUGUAGCUGGUGGGUCCCAGCAGUCAAGGGGGCGAAUUGUUUUUUUUCGGAUGCACUUCCUUGCAUGCGAAGAUGUAGCUCGUGGGUCCCAGCAGUCAGGGGGCGAAUCAUUUUAUUCGCGAAAUACGGUGGCCCGUCCGGUGGGUCCCCGCUGUCAGGUGGAGGAAUAAUUAUUUUGCGCGUAAUAAGGAGGCACUUGCUUGUGGCUGCCAUGGACCCAGAUGUCAGCCUCUCCAUGUAUAGUCGACGUCCGAUGGAAGUGGUUCCUUGACCACGUUGACCACGCCACGCCGAGAGCACCAGGGGGGUGGACGACGGCGAGGCCUAGGAAGGGGACGACACGGAGCCGGGGAAGACGCGGCAGUGGAUGCACACGCGGAGAGGAGUACGAGGGUUCACUGGUUUGGCUGCGCUGCCGUCGCUGCAGAAUAACGGGGGGUGUGGGUGAGUGGAGGGAUGGCCUGGCCAACGGUGGGAGUAGUAGGGGGCGGUGAGGCCUACGCGACAGCACAACCGGCCACGGGAGGCAGGAGCAGGCGACACGACUAGCGCUGCUUUGGGCGGCUGGAGCAAGAAGACCAGAGGUUGAAGAAGCACGACGACCGUUGGAUGGACAUCGUACGGUCACUGCAGCUAGAAUCAUUUAUAUUGACUAAGUUGACAAAGCCCUUGGUACGUCAACUUAGUAGGCCCACAGGUCAGCUUCCGAAACGGUGCGCCCCAGCUGUCAGGGGGAGGAAUCAUUUUUUGGGCAGGUGAAGCUAGAAUAUCCGAGAUUGAAGAAGAAGAACGGCAUCCGUUGGAUGGACAUCCAACAGCCACUUCUGCUAGAACUGUGUGUUGACUAUAAGUUGACAAAGCCUUGCAUACGCGUCAACUCUGUUUUUUAGGGGACACGUCAACUUAGUAAGGCCAGAAGUGUGUGGCAGAGAACUUAUAGCCCAUUUGAGAUUUGUAAGAAUGUGUUGCCCAUUUUUGAAUUCUAAUGGAAUUUACUACAACCCAUAUACAGUUUGUUAAAAGUACAACUCAUUUCAACCAACCAUUCAAAACAAAAUUCAAUAAAAUUUCCCACAUUUUGAUGGGAUCUGAAAUAUUUUUAUCCUGAAAUUUCUAGUCAGAUUAAAUACAAUUUCAAUAUGAAUUUAUAUUAUGUAAAAAUUCAACGAAACAUUGCGCUCGCAACAAUUAAUGAAAUUAAAAAUUUCAAUAUCCAAAAAUAAUAUUUUAUAAAGUAAUCACAUGUUUGGUGCAUUUUUUUAUAGUUACUGCCCAGUUUUUGUAAUUACAUCCCAUUUAUUAUUUCUUAAAGACCAUUUUCUUGUUAAGCCUACUUCAUCCCUCCUAGAAAAGAUUUGCAGCCCAGCGGGGCGGAGAAUAACAACUUGACCUUGCCUGGGUAUUCCUAAAAAAAGUAUAGCUGGGCAAGCCAUUUUCAGCUUGAAAAAAGUUAAUAUCUGGGCUGGAUAUCUGGCCUGGGCUAGACGGGCCACAGCCCGCCCAGUUAAUACGUGCAACAAUGUUUUCGUUGUUGUUCAGAGGAGAAAAAUUAAUAUCUGGGCUAAACAUCGAAAAACUCUGCAGUGCUCACACCUCAAAAACACAAAUACUGCUCGAGCUUCUUGGUCCUAGUUGCCAGCCGCUUCUUGUGCAAUUCUCUCGUUUAUUGACUAUUCCCUCAAUUCAAAAAUCUCACCAACCAAGGUAGAUGAUGAGUGGUGGAAUAUUUUUUGUAGUUUGCAAAAGCACCUGAUUAAUGCUCUUGUUUUCCUCAAAAAAUUAUGUUUACGAAUGCAUUAAUUGCAAUGCAUGCAUGCAAAAAGUGCAUGCAUUGGUCAGUUUUCUCUUAAUACUUGCAUGCAAUGAUUUAAUGCACCUUGAAGUCUGAACAUGUGAUGGGGAACAACCAAAUUGAGCCUUAUAAAAUGGAAAAACUAAAAUUUUGAGAUAAGCCCUAUAAACCAGAAAGGAGGGAGUACUACAUAGGUUGACAAUGGUGUGGGACCAUGAUGUCAGGAAACCAGGAGGAAGCAAAAUAAAUUAUAGUUAUAUAUAUAUAUAUAAUUUAUACAUUGCAAGCAAACACACAGGCCUGGCAAUUCAUAGAGAACAUUCAAAACAAUCGAUGAUUAUGCAUCUCAGUGACUCACAUGUCAGAGGCAAUAUUUACUUCACAACUAAAGAAUAAAGAAAAAAUUGAUCGACGCUGCUGACAGCAAAGGGCGUCCCAUUCAAAAAUAUCAAACACAUGUCUUGCUAAAACCAAUGAGCAAAAUUUGACAAGGUUGUCCCAUUCCAAAAUAUCAAAUGCCUACGAUUGUGGAAUGGGCAGGGUUUGCCAUCAGUUCAGACAUUGACAUGGCACCUCGUGCUAAAUAAACCAGUUGUUCUUUUUGUGCAGUUCCACCAAAAUCAACUAAAUUCGUGCGUAGCUUGUAUGAUUUCUCCCUUAUAUGUUGCAACGCCUUGAACUUAUCGACACCACCUUUCUUGUGGUGGAAAUGAAUGAUUUGAUGUAUUCAUGAACAUUUUGUGCAGUUCCCAUUGAAAUCAAGCUGAGCACCCCUGUUUGCACAAAUACAAAAAAGUGAUUAGUAUAAAGCAAACUGUACUAUGAAUUGACAGUUUCAACAGGUACAUACAUGGUCCAUGUAGAGCACACUUUUAGAAAAAUGGAACUCACCAGAAACAAUCCUAGAACAACAUUGUACUCGCGCAUCACAGAAAAAAGAUGGAGAUUUGUCAGUCCUUCUGAGAUGAAGUCAGUUUGGUCUUGUGGGCAGUAAUGUAACCAUCCUUCAACUGCUCCUUCUGAUGAGAAGAUAGACAGGGCUUCUUCAUACUGGCAUAAUCGGAACUAGUCACUUCACGUACUCCAUAUUCUUCUUCAUAGGAAGAUGAUCCUGUUGUGCAAAGACAAGAGGACUACUAAACAGCAUCCCUGUUUGCUCGAAAAAAAAGGAAAGGAAAUAUUUAAAACAACACAGAUGAAGCACUUCUCAAGGACAAUACCACUUUUUCAUGACAAUAUCUAAACAGUAGCACAAUUCCAAUAGAGAUGACAAAUCUCAAUCAUAUGGAUGAAAUCAGUGGGCGAGUACCAACCUUUGUCAGGAGGCUUAUUGUGUAGAGCAUACAGAUGAAGCACUUCUCCGAAACCAUCUGUUGCUAUCUACGGUGAUGGCCAUGCUUACUAUAUACUCCUCGAUUAGUUUAAUUUUCCAACAUCUUCUUGUGCAGUUCCACUAAAAUAUAUGGUAUCUUCAAAGAAGAUCCCUGUUUGCACAAGUUGAGAUAAUUACAUAUUACAUUAAGAGUGUCAUCAAAUCAGUGGCAAAACAAUUGCUCGUUCCAGCCAUAGCAAUAAAUUAAGAUGCAAAACUAUAUCAUUACUUGUGUCAUCACAGUUCCAGUGCUUCAUUACAUCACCGGGAGUUGAUUUUUGUUUUUCUUCCGCUUGUUCUUCCCCUUCAUCACUUGGUUCAAUAACAGACAAGCUUCGCCUUCAAUGUAAGAUUUGGCAUGCCAAUUAGGGAGCACAAGUAUAGUACUAAACUUAAUUUUCUGAUGAAAGUGGCAAAAUACAGGCCAGCAGUUGUGAAAUAUCCUUAUCUUACCUCAAUGGGAUAUUACGGUGCACAUACAGAUUGGAAGUCUUGUCUCCAUUUGUGCAGUUCACUAAAAUCAAGCAACAUUAUCGUACAAGUAGCACAACAUAUGAAAGCACACUACAGAAUCAUGUGAAAGAAGGCUAGUACUGACCUCUCAUGAUGCAGAAUUCAAACAACUCACAAGAAGAAGAUCUGAACCAAAUUCGCCUUAACGGAUAGGAAGUAAGAUCUCCUCUUGUGCAGUUCCACUAAGAUCAAGCAAUCAAGCAAUGUUGUCGAUGUGACAUUUUGGUUGAACUGCACAAAACACUCUUAAAACAAAAGUAUUUUGUGUAGUGCAACAAAAGGUCACAAUGGCAACAAGGUGAAGUAGAUAACCCUGUUUACACAGAGGUGCAAAGGAAACAAUUAGUGGUCAAUAACGGUGGAUGACACAGAAGCCAACAAAAAGAAGCAUCUACCUUAUCUAAAUGGGAAAGAAAGCAAGAUAGUAGAAUUUCUCAAACGGUGGCAUUGAUUAAUAUUAACAUAGAGAUUAUAUUAACAAUAAAAUUCGUUAAACAUGUAAUUUGCUUUUAACUGUGGCAUUGCAUCAAUUUUCCGGCAGAAUUAUUAGAGGGUGUUUGUUUACAGGGACAUUUUGGUGUAGGGACUAAAAAAACUCCGUGUCAGUCCCAUCUAAACCAAACAUGAGGGACUUUUUGGGACUAAAAGUGGGCAUUUGGGACUAAAGAAAGAAGACCCCGAGGGAGUCUUUUUGGGACUUUUUCCAAUAGUUGCCCAUGCCACGCAUCGCACCUUGUCUCUAUUAGUUCAUUACUAGGGGUAACAUGGCCUUUUAGCAUGUCAUUUAAUAACCUCUAGUCCAUGUUUAGUCCAUGGAACCAAGCAGGUAGGGACUAGGGAGUUUUUAACCAAACAGGGCCUUAAAUUAACAACAGUUAAUGAGUUGCACGGGACAGUGGACGCACCAGUACCAUGUGCAUCUACAAAUAUACUGUGGUCAUGCACAGUUUGUUGCAACAAAGAACAAACAACCAAGGAGCAUAUGUGUUGGUCCCAGUUUUGUUAUCUUUAGACACCUUUCCCUAUGUGAGCGCAGCAAAUCUAGUCCUGUUCAAACUCUACAGCCUUGUCCCUUCCUUUCCUUUUUGAACUAGUACUUUCGCCCCUUCCUUUCCUCUUUGAACCACGUCCUAGAUUUAUGCGAUACAACUUUCCCCACUACUUUCCCCCAUUCCUUUCCUCUUAGAACCACGUCCUAGAUUCAUGCUAUACAACUUUCCCCCUUCAUUUCCUCUUUGAACCACGUCCUAGAUUCAUGCUAUAUACAACUUUUCCCACUACUUUCCCCCACUCCUUUCCUCUUUGAACCACGUCCUAGAUUCAUGGCAUACAUGCAGCUAGAGCAAUGCAUGUGGAGUAAGUAAAUUAUACCUUAAGGUUCUUGGGGCGUGGUUCGGUGGGCGACGGGACGGCGGCGAAGAAGAAGGGGUCAGAGGCCCUCCCGCGCCGCCGCUGGGUGGAAAGUGAACAGCUGCGCCGGUAGUCCCUCACCGACGGCGACAUCGUUAAGCCUCCUUCCCUUCCCGGCGGACGGAUCCUGCCGGCUCUUUGAGCAGCAGUGAGGGAAGAGAGAGGCGUGUGAAGAGAGCAACUACAAGCGCUGAGAUUCCAGCGUGUAUAUAUAUACUAGAGAGAGAGUGUGAAGCGUGCAAACCCUAGAAAACAUUUUGACCAGUCAAAGAAUCCUCCUUGUACAAAUUAUGCUCAAGUGUAGUUAUCGAACCCGAGACCUCAAGUUUAAUGAGCGAAUAGGCUAACCAGCUACACAACCCUCCUGUUAUGUUCAACGAGAGGGAAAUAACCUUUUAUACAUUCCUGCAUUCGUGUGAGAAGCAUGCCAUGUUAUUAUUGUGUGUGUGGGAGUCAUUGGGAUUUCAAUCAUAAUCAUGUCAUGUGGCUUUGGUGGUAAGACUAUCCACAGUGGUGUAGAAAUAAUGCAGCCUUAGUCACCUUACCUCUCUCCACGUAGUACGUUGGGUCCCACCAGUCAGAGGGUGAAACAAACAAAUUAAUAAGAAAAAUUAAAAGCGCCAAAGGUGUAUCUUACCUCACACAUCUCGCUACUGCUCGGGAACACUAUCCAAUUGAUCCCUCUGUUUGCUCACGUACUAUUUUAAGUGAAUCCUUAUUAUAACAUGCACACAAAUUUUGGGCACUUGUAUUCAACUUAAGUCAGUGUGCCACCGUAUCUCGUAUACUUACUACUCCCUCCGUCUAGGUGUAAUAAGUCACGUUAGAAGGUGCAACGGGACCAAGGUGCGUGCGUGUGCGUGUGUGUGUGUGUGUGUUUAACAAUAUGUGUGUGUUAGAGAGAGCGACAGAUCGACCUACUUCUAUAGAGAGAUGUUGUGUAGUGUACGAUUUUAGCCGCGGGAGUCGGUGCAUCCUCGUUUCCGGGCGUGUCAGGUAGGGACAUGCGGACAGCUGCCACGCCCGCUCCUGACCAGCCUGGCCCACCCAAAGCCCCUCCAUCGCCCGCGCGCGUUUCCUCCCCAGAACAUUCAGCGCCGCUCCAAAGAAUCGGUGCCGCAUUCAUGCCCGGGCAGAGCGGACGCGACCUCUCACUGGCGCAAGAGUGAUGGUUGCUUCGUCCGUCCAACUUACUGCUGGGUCUAUGUGAUUUGACGGCUCAUUGGUCUUUAUUACUGAGGUGGUAGGACUGCUGGAUGUCCCACGCUUUCGGCAAAAAGGAGGUACUACUACUAGAUUACAAUUUUCUCCAUUCUUACAGCGGAGGCGUGCAAGAGCAGUGAAAAGACGCAGGCUCAGUGAUUACAUGGCCCACCUCACACUAUCACCGUGUGACACCUAACUCUUUACAUAGUACUCCCUCUAUUCCUAAAUAUUAGUAGAUGAGUCCCCACGCGUUGCCGCGGAACAGCGGUAUAUCUCUCUGCACAAAAUUAUCAAUUUCAUAGAACAAAAAAACUCUAUAACCGCAUGAAAAAUGUGGUAGCCAAACUAGAUAAACUCCCAUCAUCAUUUAGAUCAUCCCACGUAAGGAAAAAAUAUCAGCCAACUCCUAUUGCAUAAUGGGAUUAUAUUUUUUUUGACAUGUUAAUGGGACUUAAAAGCUCACUUACAUGCAUGCUACCGGUGCAUGCUUGCAUGCAGACAUGUUGAUGUGAUUUUAAACCCACUCACAUGCAUGUGCCAUGGUAUUUCUGCAUGCUUGCAUGUGGCUUAGUGUGGAGCCUCUCAACGUCUAGAUCAGAUAGCUAUUAUGGACUGAUUUACUUCAUCUAACGGCUACAUCAAUUUUGAUGAUGUGGCUCAAGGAGAUGAUAGAGAAUUCCUAGUAGUGGGGGCUAGCUAUUACUAGUAGAUAAGUCCUUGUAGAGAUUCCACUACAUACGGAACAAAAUGAAUGAAUCUACACUUAAAAUGAAUCUAUAUACAUCCGCAUGUGGUUCAUGGUGAAAUCUCUACAAAGACUUAUAUUUAGGAACGGGGGAGACGGCGUACUAAGAAAGCUUCUCCUCAUUCUGCGAGUUGACGGGACACAUCAAAAGUACUCCAGCGUAUAGAGCCUUGCCUCUAAGGUCGGCCCCACAUGGUUUGCCUCUUUUUUUAACAUAACACGUCAAGUCAUAAUUUGUUUGUUCACCCGUGGUAGACGAGCCUCCCUCCACCAAGUGGACAACCAGUACACGUGCCAAAUUACCACGUGGGCUGCCUUUUUCGUACAGAAAUGAGCUCCACAGUGUACCUGCGCGGGUGUGGUUGGGAAAGAGAUGGGAGUACAUGCGCCGUGCAUGCACCUCUUCUCUUCGUGCAUGUCCCCCACCUACAUGGGUGUGUGUAAGAGAUACAAACCGCGUUCGUGAGUGUUUUUUGUUUUGGGGUGGGGGUUGAUUUCGUGAAUUAUUUGUGGGAGUAUGUGUCAAUGACAUCUCAAACAAAAUUUUGCAUGUAAUGUGUGUGAAAUGGAGGCUUAUCCAUAUCAUACAUAGAGGAUCGGGCAAUCCACGAGAAGAGAGGGAGGGGUCAUAGCUAUCGAUAGAGUCGAAGAGAGGAUCGAGUGGGUGGGUGCAAGAUCGAUGAAGAGAGCCAUCGAAAUUGUGUGUGUGUGCAAGUCAAAGAUAUAGGGCGACUGGCCUACCGGAACGUUAGAGGGCACAUGUCAAGUUUGUGUGUGGCUGGGAGACAUGACUAGAGCGCUCGAUGUAUCGGUGNNNNNNNNNNNNNNNNNNNNNNNNNNNNNNNNNNNNNNNNNNNNNNNNNNNNNNNNNNNNNNNNNNNNNNNNNNNNNNNNNNNNNNNNNNNNNNNNNNNNNNNNNNNNNNNNNNNNNNNNNNNNNNNNNNNNNNNNNNNNNNNNNNNNNNNNNNNNNNNNNNNNNNNNNNNNNNNNNNNNNNNNNNNNNNNNNNNNNNNNNNNNNNNNNNNNNNNNNNNNNNNNNNNNNNNNNNNNNNNNNNNNNNNNNNNNNNNNNNNNNNNNNNNNNNNCUAUAUAGGUAGAACGACUCGUAUAUGUGUUGAGAAGGAGAGACCCAGCUAUGUCUUGAGGGAGAUCGGUCGACAUCCAUACAUAACUGAAGGACGGGAAAUAUGAUGGGACAGAGAGAGAGAGAGAGGAGAGAGAGAGAGGGAGGGAGAGGGGUAGAGUGCUGGAUGGGUGAUGGAGUUGCUUCUCGAAGAUGGUGGGAGAGGCCUACUAGACAAACUGAGGGUUGAACUACAAUGUUAUCAAUAAGAGUGGGGAUGUGUUUCUGUGUGUGCCUGUGCGUGAUAGAUCUGUCGGGACGCAUCCAUGGAUGAUGAAGGGGAACCAUGUGUUUGGUAAGCAAACCUAACUAGAUCAGUAGAUCAAUUAUUGUUUGUCGGAGGAAGGGAGAGACACAACUAAUGAGGUAGAUCGAUUGACGUGUGGGUAAAAACGAGUUAUAAGGACCUAGCUAGCUAUAUGUAUAGCAAGAGAUCGGUCGGUGUACGUCCAUUUGUUAGAGGCAAAUAAGGCCCAGCGAGACGGAUAGACAGAGAGAAUGGAGCUAGGAGGUGGUGCGAGAGGCCCAACUACUAGCUAGAUACGGGGAUGAGUGUGCGGUUGUGAGAUCGAUGAAAAGAGGGGCGAGAGUUUACACGUGUGUCUGACUGUAUGAGAGACACGAGGCAAGGACACAUAAAGGAGGAGAUUGAAGGUGUGUGUGUAUGUUGUAGGAAGGCAUUGCUGGAGAGGUUUAUCGAUCGGUGUGUAUCGGAAUGGAGUUGUGGAGACUCUGGGAGAACGACCUAAAGGAAAAAAUGAAUGUGCCCGGUGUAUAGAAUGCCGAGGGAGGGGGAGGGCGAGGAGGGCGUGUGCAUACACGAGAGAAAGUUAGUGGUAGCUACAAAUGUUAGAGGAUUGUGUGGGUGUAAGAGACUAACAAAGAUCAUAAUUUGAUAUGAAAGCGGAUUCAUAUAUUUGAAUAGGAGAUCAUAGUGUUUUAAACAUUGCAUGCAUGAAUAUAGCGGUGAUACACAUGCUGUGCACAUGUUAUACCAUAAUGUGAUAAUGCAUGGCAUUUGCAACUCACAGCUAAAUGCCGAACAAUCUAAACCAUACUAUACAUCAAACAAUCUCACGUUUUAUUUGAAUUUGUGAUAAUGUGUGGCGUUUGCAGCUUACAACUAAAUAUCGAACAAUCUAACAAUACUAUAUAUCGAACAUUCUCACAUUUUAUUUGAAUUUGUGGUAAUGUGUGGUGUUUGCAACUCACAUCUAAAUACUUGUAGGCGUAGGGGGCGGGGCACCAUACAUAAUGUGAUAAACACAUUAUACAUAUGAGACAUGGUUUAGAUUAUGAAGAUCUGGCUAGAGCUAGAAAUGUAAUGUGACUUGAAAUGAAAAUAAAGUGGAUUCAAAAAAUCUAGUUCGAGUUCAUAUAGUAAACAUAGUUCAUAUGUAACUCGAGACUAAUCAUGUGGUGUGCUGUGAGGAUAAUACACAAACGAUGGUUUAACUUGACAAUAAUGAUGAUUGUAGAUCUUAUUAAAACACAGAAACGAAUUCAAAUGCUUUGACUCCACAACAAUCAUUACUGUAGAUCUUAUUCAAAUAGAGAAACGAAUUCAAAUUUAGUUCAUAUUGAAGCGGUAGUAUAUACGUUUGGAAUGCACUAAAACAUUCAUUUGAGUAGUAGGUUGCAUGCAUUAUACACGUAGCGAAAUAUUUUAAUUGAACAUAACAUGAAUUCAAAGUUUUGAAUGACAUGUGUAGUGCGCAUUGAUUUGGUACAAUACACGUUAGGCAUGUCCGGAAAUUUCAACCCGCGCCUUGUUAGCCCGAAAUAUUUAAGAUAUAUCUUUGUCUCGUUGUGCUCUGACAACUCCCUCAAUCUCAGCCCACGCCUUGCUAUUCCGAAAUUACAACGCGCACGAAAACUCCCACCUCUUGUGAAAUCCCGACAUGCGAAAUGCCCGUGGUACCCCUGAACCGAAAGAACUGCCUCAAAUCGGUGGGGGUACUUUUGUAACUUACCACACAUUUCGGACAAGCGCGUCUCUAAGCCAUGGUUCCCCACUGCCAUCCCAUCCGCCCACCCAUUCGUACACCGAGGCCGCGAAAACCCGCGACGAAACCCCACACCCUGCUCCGUUCGCCACCCAGCCGGAGCCUCUUCCCCGAUGACGUCGUCCACAUCAACACCUUGACGUCCCUCAUCCAGCGUACCGGAUGAGGAUCCGCCGUCGAUCUCAUCGUCCCGCCGGUUCAGCCACCCCGUCCUCCACCUCCAAGGAGCUGCCCCGACGUUCCCCUCGUCUUUCGCGCCACCUCCAUUCCCACACCGCCGUCUUCACCUGCACCACCGGAAGAGCAUCAUCAUCACCGUUUCCUCGGAUGAAGCUGCAGCCUAAUCGGCGCCACCAAAGAGGUUGUACACUAAUCGCCGAAUUUUCUUCUUGAUUCGAUCUCACGGUGCUGCCGGUGCUCGGUCCCGAGCCGACACGAUGCGACUCCAUCCACGGCGGCAUCGCCGGCCACUUCCUCCACGGCGUCGCUCCCUCGGCGGCGACGUCCACAUCAGUAGGAGCUGCUGCUGCUUUAGCUCUCGCUCGCGCUGCUGCUCUGCUCUUGCUCUCGGUCCCUUGCCUGGUCUGCUCUUGCUAUUGCUCUUGCUUGCGCUGCUGCCCUCGCUCUUGCUCUUGCUUGCGAUGCUGCUCCGAUUUAGCUACACUUCAGUCGAUUGAAUCGACUUUUGGGUCAGUCGAUUUUCAAGGGGUGGUGGGGGAGGGCUCGCCGGGGUGAAGGAAGAACUAGCCGCAGCGGGGAGGGGGGGUUCACCGGAGAGGUACCCCACUAUCUAUCUAAGGGUUCAGGAUGGGGGNNNNNNNNNNNNNNNNNNNNNNNNNNNNNNNNNNNNNNNNNNNNNNNNNNNNNNNNNNNNNNNNNNNNNNNNNNNNNNNNNNNNNNNNNNNNNNNNNNNNNNNNNNNNNNNNNNNNNNNNNNNNNNNNNNNNNNNNNNNNNNNNNNNNNNNNNNNNNNNNNNNNNNNNNNNNNNNNNNNNNNNNNNNNNNNNGCGGGGCGGUGGCGUGGGGAUCGCCGAAGAAAAGCUCGGCAUGGGGGGGGGCUAGAGGGAUGGCCGGGGCGGCGGCGGACCGGUGGUGGCGAGUGUUUUCGGGGCGGGCGGGGCGACGCACCACCGGCCGCGGGCGGCGGGGGGCUGUUGUUUGGCCGGUGGUGGCUGGCGGCUCAGGAGGUGGAGGUUGAAGAUGAACCGCAUGCCCUUGAUUUCGUAUCCAACGGCUGCAAAAUCGACUGACCAGAGAUGAAAAAGUCAGUCGACCGACAUGUAGCCUCACCUUGCUAGUGCGUUCAGUUUCGACAGCAAAAUUCAGUUUCGACAGCAAAAUUCAGUUUCGACAGUUAAGUUCAGUUUUGACAGUUAAGUUCAGAGAUGAGCGGCUGAUGUAUUUUACAUCUAGCACUUUGUGGUUUUGUAUUUUACGUCAUGUAUUGGAGAUGCUAUUAGAAUUCCACUUAGGUUAACGUUGUUCGUUGUCUCUCUUGUCCUGCUUCAUCCUCAGCGUCGUACAACUCACCGGAGCUGCUCCAACGACGAAACCCUCCAUCACAGCGGAGCAGUACCUCAGGCUCUAUCUCCAGACGCCUAAGAUCUUCUCCCCCUCCUCCGACAGCAAAGUCAGCCGGAGCAUCCUCACCGGCCAACCCAAUCACGCUGAGAUCGACAUGGCUUCGCCAAAGAGGUUGUACACUUGUUGCAUCUCUUUUUUACUCUACAUGUUAUAUAUAUUGUCCACUGAGCACAUGGAUUUGUUCCUUUAGUGUCUCCUUGAAAGAAAAAACGUAGGAAUUUUAAUUUUCACUUGUCCUCCUUUUCAAAUUCCUAUUCAUGAAGCACAAGACUAAGAGAUAGUAGCAUAAUAGCAUUAUAACCGUGCAUUUUCUUGUGGUUUGACUUAAUCUCACCAUGCUUCUUUGCAUCCUGUGAUCUUCCAAUUGUUGUGAAUCAAACACCCAGAUUGGCAGAAAUCCUGUGUUUUUAAAUUCUCUGUUUUGCACAUGCAUUCCUAUCCUAUUCCUGUCUAUUUCCUAUUCCUGCAUUGUUGGAAUCCUCCAAUUCAAACGAGCCCUUAUAGAAUUACUUCUCUUACAGAUAGUUGUCAAAGAAAACCUUGCGUGGUUUGUCCCGCUUCUGCUGCACCGUCGUCCACCCCAGCUCAGCUGCUCCAACGACAGAAGGGUCCAGCACAGUAGGGAUCCGGCCUCCAGACUGUCUUUCGCCGCCUCAGAUAUUCUUCCCCGCCACUGGCAGCGAUGAAAACUGCAUUACCAUCAUCAAUCGAGCAGAUGACCUCGAGGACUACACGGGUCCGCAAGAGAGGUCACACUCUUUCGUGUCUGCUUACGUUAUGCAUCGCUUAAUAUUACAUGUUACUUUAUCGUCCUGUUCACCGAUUAGACUCUGAGUCAGCUCCAAACUAAUGGUCAAACUUGAGUUUUUAAAUGGUUGUGGGGUACAUAUCGGGGCCGCUAUCAAUAGUAUCUAUCUACUAUCUGGUUAAUCUCCGGUGUCUACUAUGAGUUUCAUGUUGGGUGGGAAACAAACAGUAAAGAAGCCAUUAUCUGUAUUUUUUAACUGAAGCCAUUAUUUGCCUGCUAUUAUUGGUUUUGGGUCUAUCCAUAGGUUGCUACCAUCACUCUGGAUUUCGGCAUGCACUCCUUACAUAAUCUCACUAUGUUUUAUUCCUAUGCAUGACAGUUAUUGUAAACAAUGGAACUGAACAUGUAGAGCAAAAGAAAUGAGCCUUGCGUGGCAAUAAAAUUUCAUGCAAAUGUCGCUCCAUGGUAGGUGCAAAGGCAGCCCCCCUCCAUGCAUUUUGGAUUGUAAUCGAGAGGAAGAUAUCUGUUCUGAGGGGGAUUCAGAAGGAGAAGACAACUCCUAUUUACCCCCUGAGGUCUUUGCUCUAACUUGGCAUGCUGAUGUUGGUUAUAUCAUGCAUAUGGUGUCUUGCAUUGCUUACUUUAUACAUCAAAUAUGUCAUCUGCUUAGUUUAGACAUCCUUUGUGCGAAUGCCAUCUGUUUAGUUUAUUCAUCGUUUAUGUGAAUUAUGCAACACCAUCUUGUUUAGCCAAGCAUCAUAUAUGUGAAUUUUGCAAUGCCAUCCUACUUAGCCAGUCAUCUUAUAUGUAAAUUAUAUUAGGCCAUCCUUUUUUUCUGUUACAUAUUACAUUUGUCAACAAUGUUAGUACAUUCAACUGCUCUUCGUGUGCAUCAGCCAUUUGACACGGUGAUGGCAAAUUCUGGAGUAAAAACAAGGUCUUUAGAGCAGACUAUGCUAUCUGACGAAGCGCAUAUCUCACUGGUUAUGGAUAGCUCCUCGGAGGAGGAUUCAGAGACAGAUGACCAGUCCUAUUCCCCCCGAGGUGUAUGCUCUAACUUGGCAGGGUUAUGUUGCUCAUAUCGGGUGUAUGGUGUCUCGCAUUGCUAUGUCAUUUGACUAGUUUAGAGAUGCUUUGUGUGAAUGCCACCUGUUCAGUGUCUAAUUACCAUAUAUGUGAAUUAUGCAUUGCCAUCUUGUUGCAAGACAUUAUAUAUGUGAAUUAUACAAUGCUAUCUUGUUGCAAAGGCAUUAUAUAUGUGAAUUAUGCAAUGCCAUGUUGUUUAGCCAAUCAUCAUGUAUGUGAAUUAUAUCAUGCUAUCAUUUUUUGUAUUAUGUGUUCCAUUUGUCGACAACGUUUGUAUAUUCAACUACUCUUCCUGUGCAUCAGCCAUUUGAAGCGGUGAUGGAAGUAUCUGGAGUGAAAACAAGGUAUUCAGAGCAGACAAUGCUACCUGCUGAAGUAGACAUCUUGCUGGUUAUAGAGAGCUCCUCAGAGGAGGAUUCAAAGACUGAUGACCAGUCCUAUUUCCCCCCUGAGGUCUAUGCUCAAACUAGGCAGGGUUAUAUUACCCAUGUCAUGCAUGUUGUCUUGCAUUGCUUAGUUUACAUCAUAUAUGGAUUGCCAUCUUCUUACUUGCUUACUAUAUAAAUCAUAUAUUUGAAUUAUAUCAUGCCAUCAUGUUUACAUAGUACAUACACAUCAUCUAUCUGAAUUAUGGCAUGGCAACCCAUUUAAUAAAGACAUCAUAUAGUUAUAUCAUCUCAUCCUGUUUAGUGUUUACAGUCAUCAUAUUUUGAAUUAUGGCAUUCUAUCCAUGAAUAUAUGUGAAUUAUGGCAUGCCAACCUAUUUAAUAAACACAUUAUAUAGUUAUGUCAUGUCAUCUUGUUUGCAUAGUCUCAUAUUUUGAACUAAGUCUUUCCAUCUUUUUUAGUUAGCCAUCAUAAUGUGAAAUUGUGUCAUGCUAUCCUGUUUAGUUAGCCAUCAUAUAUGUGAAAUUGUGUCAUGCUAUCCUGUUUGGUUAGACAACAUAAAUAUGAAUUAUUUCACGCCCUCUUUUAUUCCCCACUAUCCAUUGCACCUGUCUAUCAUACAAUGUCUAUACUUCAAUUACUUUUCUUGUUUAUCAGCCAUUUGAAUUGGAGAGCGUGAUGGCAGUAUCUAAGGGAGUAACAACACGGUCUUCAGAAAAGAUAGUGCUACCAGUUGAUGCAGAUAGAACCACGGUUGUACUUGCCCAAGGACCAGAUCCACCACACAUAACCCAGACUCUCGCAGAUUGUACCCCUACCCAGUUGGACAGAGAACCAGCUACACCCCUUCUAACCCCAACCCCGGCAGAUAGUAGCCCAGUUCCAGUUGACACAACACCAUCUCCACCACAGAGCACCCAAACACGAGCAGUUAGUAAGGGAACUGCAGUGCCCAAAGCAAGAGGACCACCACUUCGAAUCCCAACUCAAUGCUUAAAGGAGAAGAAGAUUUGUUCUCAGGUCAGGUUCUGUAGCUAUGGUUCAUACUCCAUUGCUCUUGCAUUAUUGUAUUUACUCAUACCAACUAUUUUCAAAUUUGAAGGAUGGAAUUGAAACUCCAAUGGCGCAACAGGUAUGUUUUAAACCUGUUUCUUUAACUGGUUUGCUAUUGUAACCUGCUCUAUGUUGAUUUCAGUUUCAAUUGAAUAAACAGUUAUGUUCUCAUGUCAUGCACAUUACAAGUGUUGUUAUUGCUCUAUAGUUACCCACAGUUAUAUUCUGUCUAUUCUGCUUUGUCUUGAACAAAUAUUAUUUGAAUUGUGUCUCUAUCUUGAUUUGGCAACAAAAACUAGAAUGAUAUAGACCAUAAAGUGACCAUGGUACAUAGAUAUAUGUUUGUUUCAUGCUGUUAUCCUGUCCACUUUACUACUGAACUCAUUUACCAAAAUGAGUUUCAUAUACAACAUGGUAAACAUGUGAUGUGUCUGCUUGUUUCUCUUUUAGAAUGCGGACAAAAUAUUGGAGAACAGUACUUCAUUAUCCAAUGGUAAAGGAAAUAAUGCAGAUAAGGUUCAAGAUAGUGAGACAUCCCUGUUGGUCUCCAAGAAAGCUGAUAAAAACUAUCUUGACGAUAGUGAGGGAACCCAAAAGUCCUGUCUUGAUGUAGUGUUCGAGUUACUGGCCACUACUGCUAGCACAAGCUCUUUGAACUCGCUGCCUGAAUCAGUUCGUCUUCUUGAGUCUCAACUUCAAGUUGAAAGACAUUGAUCAGAUGUGCUGCGAUAGGAAGCUGAAGGGCUGAGGAAGUCCCUGCAGAAUUCAGAUGCAUAUUUUCUGGUGCAACAGCAAGCGCUGGAGAAUUUAAGCGCCAAAUAAGAGAAAGUUAAUAAGCUUGCUAAGCAUCUUGCCAGCAUUAUGGGUACCCAGGAUAUUGUUUCUUGAGAUCUUCUGAAGUGGUUUCAGUUGUGGAUUUGUUUUGCUGCAACGUUUAUUUGCACUGGUCGCCAACUUUGACAACCAGUGUAUAUGAUAUGCUGCUUUGUUCCCUAUAUUUGCACUGGUGGCAAACUUUGAUGCCCAGUGGAUGUAAUAUGUGUAAUAGCUGUGAUAGCCUAGCAUUAGUUGCUUGCUUAUUUAUUUCCUUGUUGACUUGUUUAUUUGUUUGCUUGUAGUCAUUGUAGUUCUUUUUCCGCGGUUAGCUAGUGGCUGCAAUAACCUAUUUUUUAAAACUAGGCCACAAUAACCAUGGGCUAAUAUUUACUGUAGUGACACUGGGCCUCCUACUGUCCGUAGAAACAGUGGGCCUUCUACGGGCCAUAGAAUCAAUAGGCCUUCUGCGGGCCAUAUCAUCAAUGGGCCUUAUACGGGCCAUAUGAUCGAUUGGCCAAACAUGGGCCAAACAGACCGCAUUAUGGUCGUAAAAGGGCUAGAGUUGGAAUCGUCCUUUCAUGGGCCGACCAUAACGGGCCAUCGUUAAUAGGCCAUAUUUGAUGACACUAUGAAAAUAGCCCAACAUAUUAACGGACCAAAAACGGGCCGACUGUAACCACAGGCUGAAUUUGGCCCACAAGCAGAAAAUGACAGUAACGGGCCGUAAGUAAACGAAUGCUGGAAAUGAGCCCAAGAAUAAAUGGGCUCUAAGAAGGCCGAAAGAUAAAAUGGGCUGGAAACGGCCCAACGGAAUAACGGGCUGUUAAUGGGUAUAAAGUGAUACACUGUUCAUUACGGGCCAGUUUCACCACGGGCCGUUAAUGGGUGUAAAGUGAUACACUGGUCAUUACGGGCCAGUUUCACCACGGGCCGUUAAUAGGCCAAGAGUUACAUAGGGCCUCAUAUAGGCCGAAAGACGUCAUGGGCUAUACAUGGGCUAGAAGUGAAAACGGGCUGGAAUCAUAUUGGGUGGCCUAGAUGACGCUACUGGGCCUAAUUCGGAUAGGGCGUAACGGGCCUUGGGUUAGCGGGCUGUAAAUGGGCUAUAUGCGAACAGGUCGUUAAUAGGCUUUACAUGGGCCGGCCCGCCACCUUUUGACCAAGUCAAACGGGCUGGCCUUUUCACAGGAAUGGGCCUCUAUUGGGUCGUGCCACGUGUCGAUGUAUCAUAGGCGCCUUCUGUCCAAUGAGUGGAUGACAUCUGUCCCAACGAUGAGCCGACACGUGUUUCCUCCAACCAAUGAUGAUUUUACACGUGGAAAAUCCCCAUUGGUCGCGGCUGUUAACGGGUUAUCGGAUCCAAAACCUGACCCGAUAGCUUAAUGGCGUUCCGUUACGGUGGAUGCCACGUGUCGGUCACCCUUGACGAAAUCACUUCUGUGAUGCACAAUUUAUCGUCAUGGAAGUGGACACUUCCGUGAUGAUAAUUUUGGUAAUGUCAUGGAACACUUCUACGACAACACAUGUAUGACUAUCUUGAUUCUAUCAUAAAUUUGUCAUGGAUGUACAUGCAUGACAAAAAACGCGACCUACUGUGACAAACACGUAUCAUCACGGAAGUGUAUUUUUUGUAGUGCAUGUUGGUGCCAUGUCAUGAGACCAUGCCAAGUUUCAUGACUUUCAGGCGUGUUUUGGAAUUACAAGAAUUAAAAAACCAAGUUUCUCAAUCUUUUCGGCCGAGUCACGAUGCCCAGAUGUUUGAAUUUCACUCCCAUCUCUUGCAUGGAACCUAAAAAUUCACCCAAGGACACACAUGUGAUUUUUCAAACAACUUUGGUGCACUAGAGCAUGUGCUUGUAGUUCAAAUUUGAAUUAUGCACAUUAAAUGCCCAGAAACUCAAUAAAUGUAUAAAAAAGGCCAAACAAACCCGAAAUAAUUCCAAAAUUUAGCAUGGUACUUCUAUUUGGUCUAAUAUGGCCGUGUAAAAAAAUUAAGGCGGGAGAAGGCAGUGUACGUAUGUCGUUUCACACACGGAGGUGACACUACUAGGAAAAGGGCUAUAGGUAAUAUGGACAUUAAUGGCGCACCAUGUAUGUGGUGCGCCACUUCUAUAUAGCAGUGGCGCACCAGAUACAGGUGCGUCAUUAGUGUCCUCAUUACUAAUGGCGCACCAGACACAUGGUGCGCCAUUACUAGCAAAUUUUAUUUUUUUAUUUUUCCAAAACUAUUAAUGGCGCACCAGGCCAUAGUGCGCGCUAGUACUAACAAUUUCCUUUUACUUUUUUUUUCAAAACUAGUAAUGGCGCACCUUUGUGAAGUGCGCCAUUACUAGUUCAAACUAGUAAUGGCGCACCACAACCACGAUGCACCACUACUAGCAAUUUUUUUUUUUGCAAAACUAGUAAUGGCGCACCCCUAACUGGUGCGCCAUUAGUAACCAGGGUUACUAAUGGCGCAUUUUUAGGUGGUGCGCCAUAAGUAACCUGAGACAGCUAGAUAUUUUGGACAACCACCUACCACACUCACUUUCCCCACUUCAUUCUCUCCACCUCCUCCAAGCUUGUCUCGGCUGCCUCCUCCUCCUCACCUCAUUUGCACCAUAGAUUCACCCAAAUUAAGUGGAUAAAUUACCUUUUUUGAUAGGUAAGUAAGGGGAAAGCUUUCUUUAUGUUGUAGAUCUACUUUUUUCCCUUCAACAACGUGCACAUGCACUUUUCAUGGCCUAGCUAGAUCUACGUAUGUUUGUGGUGUUUCAUAUGUUUGUGGUGUUGCAUAUAUGUUUGUGUUUGCAGGUACCGGUAUUUGAAAUGCGAUAGUUGCCAAUAUUUUGCCGGAAUGUUGAUUCAUUUCUGUUUCGGCCAGAAUUAGGCACUAUGCAUUCUUUUUGGUCCUAUUUUUAGGCAAAGUCAUGCCAAAUUUUUUCUUGGUUCUAAAAUGUCAUUUUGCUCUACCCCGCAGGCGACCAUGGUCCGCACGAUGACCGAAGGCAUCGUGAAUCGGUUUUUGAGCUCCGCGAAGGCCGAGAUGCUUCAAAAGAACGAGACGAAGAUAAGAUGUCCGUGUCAAAGAUGCAAGCUGAAGAGCCUUAUUGCGGACCCGGAUCCGGACAGGUGCGGGACCACCUGCUCUUGCGUGGUUUCAUGGAUGGCUAUCGGUGGCAAGGUGAUGAAGAUGACUAUGAAGUCGUCCAUGGGGGCCGGGCAAGAAAUGAGGAAGGGCAGCAAGACAACCACCGCGGCGAGGGCGGGCAAGAAGACGAAGAAUCUCCAGGAAAUGAUCACGACGGUGAUGCUAUACACAGUCAUCAUGUAGAAGAUGUCGGACAUGAUGAUGAGGAAGAUCAAGACGAAGGGCAUGAUCAUGAAGAUGAAGAUGCCGGAGCAGACGAUGAUGGACCAUCGAUAGGCUGGGUGGAAGACCCUCAUAUUCAAGAGCUGCUUCUCAAGCAGACGAAUAACACAAGAGCUGCCGCCUGAGAGAAAGCCAAGCUGGAUCAACUGGAGAUAGACGCGGUUACUCCAUUGUAUGAAGGAUGCAGGUCCGAGGAUACCCGCCUAGAAGGAACGCUCAUGGCUCUGGAGAUGAAGGUAAAACACAAAAUGACCGACGCAUGCUUUGACGAGAACCUGUCAUUCUGGCACGAACAUCUUCCCAAGUGGAACAAGUGCCCGACCAGUUUCGAGGAGGCGAAGAAAAUUGUGUGUCCUCUGGAUUUACUGCACGUGAAAUACCAUGUGUGCAUGAACAAUUGCAUCAUUUAUCAGGAAGAGCAUGCGGCGUCUACCAUAUGUCCGGUGUGCGGCGUCACUCGAUACAAGAAGAGGAAGAAAGCUCCUCGAAAAGUGGUGUGGUACUUUCCGAUCACUCCUCGUCUGCAGCGGUAUUUCGCGGACCCUAAGCUAGCAAAGCUCCUGCGCUGGCACGCGGAUAGGGAGGAGAAGAAGUGAGAAGAUGACGGAAAUGAUCCGGAGAUAAAUAAAAAAGACAAGAUGCUGAGUCACCCUAAGGAUGCGAUCCAGUGGCAAGCGUGGAACUUCGAACACCAAGAAUUUGGGGCCGAUCCAAGGAACAUCAUGCUGGGCGCGAGCACCGAUGGAGUCAAUCCGUUUGGAAGCCAGAGAAGCACACAUAGCACCUGGCCUGUGCUUGUGUGGAUGUACAACCUUCCCCCUGGUUGUGCAUGAAGAGGAAGUACAUUCACAUGAGUAUGCUAAUUGAAGGGCCGAAACAACCAGGGAACGACAUCAAUCUGUAUCUGGGGCUGCUUAAAGAGGAGCUAGACACGCUGUGGAAAACCCCAGACAAUACGUGGGACGCUGCAGAGAAAGAAUAUUUCCCUAUGAGAGCCGCACUUCUCACGACGGUGCACGACUAUCUCAGUUACGGAUAUCUCGCGGGGCAGGUGAUCCAUGGAUUUUCUGGAUGCGUCAGGUGCAUGGAUGACACAACGUAUCGCCAGCUAGAUAGAGAUCCCGGGUCUUCGAAAACCACGUUCAUGGGACAUCGAAGGUGGCUUCGCGACGAUGAUCCAUGGAGAAAACACAAGGAUCUGUUCGAUGGUGAAACCGAACCCCGAAGACGCCCGCGUACGAGGAGCGGUGAGGAAAUAGACGAGCUGUUGAAAAAUUGGAAAGAUUGCCCACUGCCAGGAAAGAAGCAAAAGGCGCUAGAGCUGGGAAAGAAGCGAAAGGCGCCAGAGCCGCUGUUGAAUGUAUGGAAAACGAGGUCUGUUUUCUGGGACUUGUCAUACUGUAAGAUCCACCGUGUGCCUCACAGCCUUGAUGUCAUGCAUAUCACGAAGAACGUGUGCGACAAUCUGCUUGGUACCCUACUCAACAUGCCAGAGAGGACCAAAGAUGGGCCGAAAGCAAGGGCAGACUUGAAAUCAAUGGGCAUCAAGGAGGAGCUUCACGCUAAUGAUGAUGAUGAUGAUGAUGAGGCAAAGCAGGACACGGAAAGUCGUCGCAAAGGCAAAAAGGCCAAGAAGACCGGAAAUGACUACCCUCCCACGUGCUUCACUCUAAGUCAGGAGGAGAUCGAGCAGUUUUUCACCUGCCUCGUAGGAGUAAAACUUCCUUACGGUUACGCGGGGAAGAUAAGCAGAUACCUAGACUCAGUGAAGCAGAAGUUCAGCAGGAUGAAGUCUCAUGACUGUCACGUGCUAAUGACGCAGAUACUUUCAGUUGCAAUCUGUGGGAUCAUGGACGCACAUGUCCGUGAAACACUAUUUGGCCUAUGCAACUUUUUCGACGUCAUCUCUCGGAAGUUGGUUGGCAUGAGGCAACUCAGAAGGCUACAAGAAGAGAUCGUGGUGAUACUAUGCGAGCUUGAGAUGUACUUCCCGCCUGCAUUCUUCGAUGUUAUGGUGCAUCUGCUAGUCCAUAUCGUGGAUGAUAUCAUCCAACUCGGGCCGAUGUUCCUACACAGCAUGAUGCCGUUCGAAAGGAUGAAUGGUGUCAUCAAAGGAUACGUUCGCAGCAUGUCACGUCCAGAGGGAAGCAUAGCUAGGGGCUUUCUGACCGAAGAGUGCAUCUCCUACUGCACGAAUUAUCUAGGCAUCGAGAACCCCGUUGGUCUGCCCGUCAACAGGCACCUCGGCAGGCUCGCUGGAUGGGGUCACCGCGAUGGUCACCGCGAAAUGCAUGCUGACUUCGAGGGUCGACUCGCCGACUUUGAAAGAGCAAACCUAGUCGCGCUACAACACAUAGACGUGGUCGAUCCUUGGGUGGUAGAGCACAAAACCUUUAUUGAGAAGACGUACAAUGACCGAGGCCAACAGAGGACGGACGGAGAUAUAAUCAAAGAGCACAACCUAUGUUUCACGCGUUGGUUCAAGGAGAAGCUUCUGUCGUACCCUUUACAUGAGGAUUCUUCCGCGGAAGAAAACCUCAUAUUCGCCUUGUCAUAGGGCGCCGAGCACAACCUGAUGACCUAUGAGGCGUAUGAUAUCAAUGGCUACACAUUCUACACCGAGGACAAGGACAUGAAGAGCGAUGGUUAUCAGAACUGUGGGGUAAUGAUGGAAUCCUACACUGGUAACGACAAGGACAGAUACUAUGGAAGGAUCGAGGAGAUCUGGGAGCUGAGCUACGCUGGAGAGAAGGUCCCGAUGUUCCAUGUCAGAUGGUCCAAGAGUGUCAUAAAAGAAGACCGGUAUUUCACCACCAUGGUUAUACCCGAAGCCAAAUCCAAGACCGCGAGCGCAAACGUCACCGCGAAAAAUGAGCCAUGGGUACUGGCUUACCAAGUGGACCAAUGCUUCUUCAUUACCGACCCAUCAAAGCCCAGUCGUGUUGUCGUGAGGAGAGGCAAAAGGAAGAACAUCGGAAUGGAUGGAGUCGCUAAUGAGCAAGACUUCGACAAGUACGGCGACCCGAAGAUGGAACAUGACGACGAUGAUGAGGUGCCAUACACCACAAGAAGAAGCAGGACCACCCUACCUAAAGGACGUCCGUUCCACAGAAGAACUCCAUUUGCGAAAAAGAUGGGCAAGAAGAUUGUGAAAAGGUAGCUAGCUAAGAUCGAUUGUAUUUAAAUCGUAGUCUUCAUUUCUCGAUUGUAAUUUGACAUAUUGAAAUGAUAUUUCUUCUGUCCUAGUCCUCAUGAAUAUUGAAUUUGUUAAUAUUUUUUGAACUCAUGAAUAUUUUUAAUUUUCAUGGUCACUUUUUGAAUUCAUGAAUAUUUUUUCAAAUUUGAUGAUAUUUUUUCAUAUUCAUAAAUGUUUUACCAAUUCACAAAUGAAUGCAACUAAAAAUCCAAAAAAAUUGAUGAUAUUUUCAAAUAACAAAUUUGAUGAUAUUUUUUCAUAUUCAUAAAUAUUUUCAAAUAACAAUUUUGAUGAUAUUUUUUCACAUUCAUAAAUGUUUUCAAAUUUGAUCGUCAUUUUCUAAAAAAAUAUUAGGUGCAACUAAAAAUAUAAAAGUUAGUAAUUGCGCACCAGGAGAAGGUGCGCCAUUGCUAUCUGGGUACUUAUGGCGCACCCCGAGGAGGUGCGCCAUUGGUAUACCAAUUUUUAUGAUAUUUUUUUCAUAUUUUUUCAAAUAACAAAUUUGAUGAUAUUUUCAAAUAACAAAUUUGAUGAUAUUUUCUCAUAUUCAUAAAUAUUUUCAAAUAAAAAAUUUGAUGAUAUUUUUUCACAUUCAUAAAUUUUUUCAAAUAUAAUCGUCAUUUUCUAAAAAAAAUUAGAUGCAACUAAAAAAAAAAAAA